rnacentral:lncRNA from 1 species
UGGGCUUGAAGGGUUAGCAUUUGUAGAUUGAGGUUGUUGUGAAUAUUGAGAAAACUGAGACGGGGUUUGAUACUGUUGUGGUGGAGCUGGGGGCGCCUGCGCCUGUGGAACUGGAGGGGCUUGAUACUGCUGUGGUGGAGCUGGAGGUGCAUGUGCCUGUGGAACUGGAGGGGCUUGAUACUGCUGUGGUGGAGCUGGAGGUGCCUGUGGCUGUGGAACUGGAGGGGCUUGAUACUGUUGUUGUGGUGCAGGAGGCGCCUGUGGCUGUGGAACUGGAGGUGCUUGAUACUGCUGAUGAAUGGCUUCAGUUGGCUGGGCAGAUGGUGUGUAGUAGGGUUCCUGUGGUAAAGCUGGUACAGAGGGAGCCGAUGAAUGGCCUAGGAACUGUGCUGGAGGCUGACUUUGAAGCGUUGGAGGUGGAGGCGGCGCGUUAGGAGCAGGAAGGGCAGGAAAAGUUUGGGGUUGAUGUUGCGGCGGAACCCCUGCCUGCUGCGGAGCAACUGACUGGUGCAGCGAGUCUGCCUGUCCAACCCCACUAUUUUCUGAUGACUGGGUCUCAUUUUUGGGUAUCUGGAGUUUUGCAAGAUGGAGCUGGGUUUCAACAAUUUCCUGCUUGUCACGCAUAAUCUGCACACCCGCUUGGACCUGUAUGUAGCAUUACAAAAUUAUAUGGAAGCUAUCCCAAUAGCAUAACAACAAAGCAAUAGGGUACUGUUCAUAAGCAUUAAGUGAUGCUCUCUCUAUUAUCACACAACCAUACAUUUAAGGAAGCACAAUACUGGUGGGUUUAUAAUACCCCAUGAGUGGUAAUUACAAAAAAGGUGAUUAUGUGUAGCAUCAUCUAAAGGAACACUGACAUGCAAUACAAAUGACCAGUUUGGAGGGGGGGGGGGGGGGGGGNNNNNNNNNNNNNNNNNNNNNNNNNNNNNNNNNNNNNNNNNNNNNNNNNNNNNNNNNNNNNNNNNNNNNNNNNNNNNNNNNNNNNNNNNNNNNNNNNNNNNNNNNNNNNNNNNNNNNNNNNNNNAUAUGCAUCUAAAAAGAAUCCACCAAAUAGGAUAUGUUUAAGCCUCGAAACAGACGGUUAGUUAACUACUUCACUACAGAGUCAAAAUAAGACUGCAAUUGUCUAUUAUAAAUCGUAAACGAGGUAUAUGACAAUUUCCAACAUAAUCCCAGUAGAGCAUGCCAAUCAGUUGUCAAAGAUGACCAGCGGUGAGUUAGCACAUCACUGUAACCUUCUCAGUAAAUCAAUGCCAAUAUGAAAUAAUAUGCAUUGCUUCGCAAGCAUAGCUAUCGUAUGAUCAUAAAAAUUUCAGAGAGGGAUGGAGCAGGAGAGUCAAAUGAAGCAUACCUCCCUCAACAUAUUCUCAAGUUGCCUCAGUUUUCCAUCAGUGCUACCAUUAUAGUUGCCAAUUGUUAGCUUGAACUCAUCAACAGAACUUUCAAGAUGGUGUGUUCUACCCUCCAGCUGUGAAAGCCUUGAGCUUACACCUUCUAGUGCAUACAACAGGUUAUCAGAAUACUUCUUCAUGGUUCGAUCAAUAUCUGCUAUAGUUACCAGUCCAAAGUUACUCCUGUCUUCCUCAUGAUUAACAUUCUUCGGCACACGGUUUUCCAAUAUACCAGCACUCUUUCCAUCAUAUAAAAGAAAAAUGUAAGUAAGCUAUAUAUGACAAGUGAUGGUGUUUACUAUCAAAUGCAACUAAUAAUAAUUAGAAGUUCAUUGCAUGCAAUCGACAGAACCAACGAACAAAUAUAUAUCAAAUAAGAAUCACAGAUUCAACAAAGUAAUUCAAAAGAGUACAAAUAAAGUCGUAAAUGUAAGAGCUGGGGAAAACGUGCAUCACCAUGAUACCUCUUGUGUUACAUUUUAAUCAGUCGUGUGCAAGAAUUUAAACAGCAAUUAGUCAGCACAAAUUUCUGUGUAGCUUCUAACAAAACAAGAUCUUGGCAUAAAUUUCACAGAACAGAUGUACUGGCUAUCUGGCAUCUAACAGCAUGCAAAAGAAUAAAACUUAACGUACAAAUCUACGGGAGUUCAGUCGCACUGACCAUUUUUCUGACAAAUAAGCGUCUAUCUAUGCGCUAUUGCAUGCUCGUUAGAUGGCAUGUAUUACAAAGUCACUGAGAUAUGUUUCAUGGAAUUGAAACAUGACUUAUAGAUGGCUUGAGGAAUCAACAAAUUCGAUUAUGCAUACCAUUCGUAUGUGCUAACUUGAUAGCUACCAAACAACAAGGCCAUGUUUCCAGCGCAUGCUACAGGAUACCCAAAAUUUAGUAGUAGUGCCUAGCUAGCAGUAUCAUGUACCCCAAGACAAGCCAACGUGAACCUAUCCAAGGUGCAGUUCCUUCUUUUGCCCAGCCGAUCUACUUACGGCCCCAGCAAUUCAAUAUCACUACAAUACACAAUACUGCCUACAUGCAACUACUCCUACUUACUAGAUUUAUCUUCCGAACUAGGCGCCUUUGUGAACUUUGCAACACGAGAUAAUCAGGUAACUUUGCUUCGGGCAAGGACAUGAAUCGCAGCUAGACCGAGAGAUCCAGCGAGUAACAGUAGGUACCUUGAGGUUGUAUGGGGACGAGGCGGGGGCGGAGACCGAGGCGGCCUUGGAGUUGGAGUCGAGGGAACCCCACGAGUGCGGCGCGGCGGCGGGGGCGGCCCCGGCGGUGCGCAUGGGCUGGAAGUCGUAGCUGGGAAGAACGUCGGUGGCGGUGCCGUUGGCGCUGCGGUGGUGGCGGCGGCGCAGGCCGUCCUCGCUCUCCUCCUGGGGGUCGGGGCCCAUCAGAUCGAGGAGCUCCGAGCCGCCGCCCGCGGGGGGCGGGGAGGGGGCGGCGGAGGCGGCGAGGCCGAGGAUCUGCUUGUCCAUGAACUGCGACGUGUUCAUCGGGCGGGGCCGCCUCGCCGGCGGCGGNNNNNNNNNNNNNNNNNNNNNNNNNNNNNNNNNNNNNNNNNNNNNNNNNNNNNNNNNNNNNNNNNNNNNNNNNNNNNNNNNNNNNNNNNNNNNNNNNNNNGGGGGGAAGGAGGAGAUGGAGGGAGGUGGAGGCGCUAGGAUGGGGGGACGCGGAACCCUAGGCCAAGGGGCACGCACGUCGAGGCUAUAUAAGGGCCUCAACGUGCGUGAACCUCACGAUGUGCUCGCUCUCUCACUGGCGUCUGACGGAAAGCAACGCACUGGGGGGACGCCGUCUGAAGAAAGGAGAAGGAGGUCGCGCUAUGGGCUGCCGCUAGGAACACAGAGGGAGCGUUGGGCCACGGGAGGGAAAGAGGCCCAACGCUGGCGAUAGGUAAAGGAAAAGAAACCCACUGGGUUUCUUAUUUUAAAACAAACAGAGAAAGGAAAAUAAAAAACCUAGGAAAAUCUGAUGAAGCUAAAAAAAAGCAAACAGACCCCUGGUCAUAAGGAAUUAUGACCUAAUUGAAUAAAAAAGAAAAGGGAUUUUUGGAGCAACUAAAUAUUUGCAAAACAGAAUUUGAUCCUCCGUUUUGUGAAUAUUUGCACCUCACAAACAAAGUUUCAAAACAGCAACUUCACAUCCUCACAAUCACCACAAUACAUGCUAAAUCAUGGACANNNNNNNNNNNNNNNNNNNNNNNNNNNNNNNNNNNNNNNNNNNNNNNNNNNNNNNNNNNNNNNNNNNNNNNNNNNNNNNNNNNNNNNNNNNNNNNNNNNNCUACUUUUACUUCAUUGCUAACGGUUAGCUAUAGUAGUAGUGAUAGUAGUAGUUGGCGUGACGACUUCACGGAGACACGAUGAUGGAGAUCAUGAUGAUAGAGAUCAUGGUGUCACGCCGGUGACGAUGAUGAUCAUGCGAUGCCUGAAGAUGGAGAUCGAAAGAGCAAAGAUGAUAAUGGCCAUAUCAUGUCACUAUAUGAUUGCAUUGUGAUGUUUAUCAUGUUUUUCAUCUUAUUGCUUAGAACGACGGUAGCAUAAUAAGAUGAUCCCUCUUAAAAUUUCGAGAACGUAUUCCCCUAAGUGUGCACCGUUGCGAAGGAUCGUUGUCUCGAAGCACCACGUGAUGAUCGGGUGUGAUAGAUUCUAACGUUCGCAUACAACGGGUGUAAGCCAGAUUUACACACGCGAAACACAUAGGUUGACUUGACGAGCUUAGCAUGUAGAGACAUGACCUUGAAUACAAGAGACCGAAAGGUCGAACAUGAGUCGUAUGGUUGAAUACGAUCAGCAUGAAGUUGCUCACCAUGGUGACUAGUCCGUCUCACGUGUUGAUCGGACACGGGUUAGUCAACAUGGAUCAUGUAUCACUUAGAUGACUAGAGGGAUGUCGAUUUAAGUGGGAGUUCAUACUUAAUUUGAUUAAAUGAACUUAAUUAUCAUGAACUUAGUCUAAAAGUUGUCUUUAAAAAUACUGUAGAUGGCCAACGUCAACCUCAAUUUCAACGUAUUCCUAGAGAAAAACAAGCUGAAAGAUGAUGGUAGCAACUAUGCGGACUGGGUUCGCAACUUGAAGCUCAUCCUUGAAGCAGCUAAAAAGGCUUAUGUCCUUGAUGCGCCGCUAGGUGACCCUCCCGCUCCCGCAGCAGCCCAGGACAUUCUGAACGUCUGGCAAACGCGGAGUGAUGACUACUCUCUGGUUAGGUGUGGCAUGUUAUACAGUUUAAAAACGAGGCUCCAAAGGCGUUUUGAGCAACGCGGUGUUGGAAUUAUGCCCUAGAGGCAAUAAUAAAUAUAGUUCUUAUUAUAAUUCCUGUAUGAAGAUAAUCGUUUAUUAUCCAUGCUAUAAUUGUAUUGAAUGAAGACUCAUUUACAUGUGUGGAUACAUAGACAAAACACCGUCCCUAGCAAGCCUCUAGUUGGCUAGCCAGUUGAUCAAAGAUAGUCAGUGUCUUAUGAUUAUGAACAAGGUGUUGUUUCUUGAUAACUGGAUCACGUCAUUAGGAGAAUCACGUGAUGGACUAGACCCAAACUAAUAGACGUAGCAUGUUGAUCGUGUCAUUUUGUUGCUACUGUUUUCUGCGUGUCAAGUAUUUAUUCCUAUGACCAUGAGAUCAUAUAACUCACUGACACCGGAGGAAUGCUUUGUGUGUAUCAAACGUCGCAACGUAACUGGGUGACUAUAAAGAUGCUCUACAGGUAUCUCCGAAGGUGUUAGUUGAGUUAGUAUGGAUCAAGACUGGGAUUUGUCACUCCGUGUGACGGAGAGGUGUCUCGGGGCCCACUCGGUAAUACAACAUCACACACAAGCCUUGCAAGAAAUGUGACUUAGUGAAAGUUGCGGGAUCUUGUAUUACGGGACGAGCAAAGAGACUUGCCGGUGAACGAGAUUGAAAUAGGUACGCGGAUACCGACGAUCGAAUCUCGGGCAAGUAACAUACCGAAGGACAAAGGGAAUGACAUACGGGAAUUUAUGAAUCCUUGGCACUGAGGUUCAAACGAUAAGAUCUUCGUAGAAUAUGUAGGAUCCAAUAUGGGCAUCCAGGUCCCGCUAUUGGAUAUUGACCGAGGAGUCUCUCGAGUCAUGUCUACAUAGUUCUCGAACCCGCAGGGUCUGCACACUUAAGGUUCGACGUUGUUUUGUGCGUAUUUGAGUUAUAUGGUUGGUUACCGAAUGUUGUUUGGAGUCCCGGAUGAGAUCACGGACGUCACGAGGGUUUCCGGAAUGGUCCGGAAACGAAGAUUGAUAUAUAGGAUGAUCUCAUUUGAUUACCGGAAGGUUUUCGGAGUUACCGGGAAUGUACCGGGAAUGACGAAUGGGUUCCAGGAGUUCACCGGGGGGGGCCAACCCACCCCGGGGAAGCCCAUAGGCCUUGAGCGUGUCACACCAGCCCUUAGUGGGCUGGUGGGACAGCCCAAAAGGGCCCUAUGCGCCUAGGAAAGAAAAUCAAAGAGAAAAGGAAAAAAAAAGAGGAGGUGGGAAGGGAAGGAAGGACUCCCACCCACCAAACCAAGUCCAACUCGGUUUGGGGGGGAGCCUUCCCCCUUGGACUCGACCGACCCCCUUGGGGCUCCUUGAGCCCCAAGGCAAGGUCCCCUCCCUCCCACCUAUAUAUACGGAGGUUUUAGGGCUGAUUUGAGACGACUUUUCCACGGCAGCCCGACCACAUAUCUCCACGGUUUUUCCUCUAGAUCGCGUUUCUACGAAGCUCGGGCGGAGCCCUGCUGAGACAAGGACAUCACCAACCUCCGGAGCGCCGUCACGCUACCGGAGAACUCUUCUACCUCUCCGUCUCUCUUGCUGGAUCAAGAAGGCCGAGAUCAUCGUCGAGCUGUACGUGUGCUGAACGCGGAGGUGCCGUCCGUUCGGUACUUGAUCGUGGGACUGAUCGCGGGAUUGUUCGCGGGGCGGANNNNNNNNNNNNNNNNNNNNNNNNNNNNNNNNNNNNNNNNNNNNNNNNNNNNNNNNNNNNNNNNNNNNNNNNNNNNNNNNNNNNNNNNNNNNNNNNNNNNUCUAGACUUGUUAUGCUAGAUUCACGUUCCCUUCGUCAUAUGCUCGCUGCCUACCACUGAAAUAAUUGCCUCCUGAUAUUGCCAUGCAACCCAAACACUUGUCCCUUCCUAGCAAAUCUUGAAUGGCUAAGUAGUCUUUGCUCAGCUACUAAUGUUAGCGUCGCUAGUUGCAGGUGCAAUUGUCUCAUGUGAUAACAUGAGUUUGAUAUCAUUAUAUUAAUUAUGUUAUUUAAUUAAUGCACAUAUAUACUUGGUAAAUAACGGAAGGCCUAGCCUUUUGCCAGGUGUUUUGUUUCAUUAUUGCCGCCUUAGUUACCGGCUACCGGUGUUUGAUUCCAUAACUGAUCGCUCCUAACACGUUCGGGGUUGUUAUGGGGACCCCCUUGAUAAAUCGUGUAGUGUUAAGACUUUUCCGGCAGGACCCAACAUUGCUUUUUAUUUGCAAAUCACUUAAUAAUAAUAUGCAUAGGGAAUGGCCACCCCGAGGAGUUAAUCAACAACCCGGGCCAGUGCUCCUCAUGAGUGUUGGUCCCACCUGAGCGAUGUCCGGGGCCCCUCUGGUCACCCAGAGGUUUAGCCAUCCCGACGUCUAGCUCAUCCGUCGUGUCCAGAAACUGAGAUAUGCGACUCUUAUCGGGGUCGUCGACACGACGGGAGGUCCUGCUAGUCUUGUCUUACCUUAGCGAUAUAUCUUGGUAUAGGAAUCCCGGUGAAGCUUUGGUUCUCCCCAGAGUUGAGGUUUUCCUCUAAGGAAUCCGACGAGAUCACGAGAUUCAUGAUAGAGGAUUACUUUGCGACCCGUGACUGUUUGUGAUGGACUAGUUGGAGCACCCUUGCAUGAUUUAAUCUUUCGGAAAGCCGUGCCCGCGGUUAUGUGGUAACUUGGAAUAUUUGUUAACAUCCGGUUAUAGAUAAUUUGAAUCUAAUCUAAUAAAAUUGCCAACUGUGUGCGUAACCGUGAAUGUCUCCUUCGAAGAUCUCUCCUCGAUCGGGAACACGGUGGGGUUAUGAUUGACGUAAGUAGGUGAUCAGGAUCACUUAUUGAUCAGCUAGUCAUCGAUCGCUAGUAUAGACCACCUUCAAUACAUGUUCUACGUAAGUUAGCCACCAUAAAUGCUUAGGAUGCUGGAACCUAAACACUGAACCUUCCUUACCUAAUAACUUGACUAGUUCUGGCACCGAGGUCAAAGAUUGUUGAGUCCCCGUGGCUCACAGAUUACUUCAACACACCAACAGGUACAGGUACGCCCGACAUAGGUGAUCCCGAUGGCACACAGCUAGCGUGACAGUAUGAUGAGGAGACCGACCGCUUGUACGUGAACUAUCCAGAAGACUGAGGCGUGGUCGUGAUCGUGNNNNNNNNNNNNNNNNNNNNNNNNNNNNNNNNNNNNNNNNNNNNNNNNNNNNNNNNNNNNNNNNNNNNNNNNNNNNNNNNNNNNNNNNNNNNNNNNNNNNUCAAAAAAAUGUAUUUUUGAAUAUUUUAUUUCGAAAUUCUCAGUUUCUUGAAAUUGAAAAAAGUUGUUUGAAGUUCAAAAUUAUUUAAAGUAGCAAACAAAAUGGAACUGGAAAUAAAAAUAAAAAAUCUAAACUAAAAAAACAGGCGCCCACACAUGAGCCGGCCCAAACAGGUGUGCUGCAUCUUUUUUCAAUGCCCAGAGCGUAAUAUAGGAUGUGUCUACAUGGGUCGGCCUAGUCCGAAGAUUUUUCCUAUUCGAAACGUUUUUUAUGACUUAUAGGUGGCAUUGGUGGGUAAUUUUAGUCAACUUUAAGGACAAUUUGGAUGACGUACGGAAGAAGCACUAUUUGUUUUAUUAGUAGGUAAGAGAUAAGAUAUAUAUAUAUAUAUAUAUAAUAGCCCGUGCGUUGCAACGGGAGAAAAAAAAAUCAUAAUCUUCAAUUGUGAUAAUCACAUUAUGUUCUCAAAAUAUCAAGAAAUUUCUUGAAAUGCAUGAACAUUAUUUGAAUUAUGAUGAAAAUGGCAAAAAUAUGUUUUGUUAAUUAAUGAUAGCAUAUUCAUAAAAACAUUAUUUUUAUCUUGUUGAUAUAUGUGUUUGCAGUUGUAAUCUAAGUGAAGUCUUAAUUUGGUUGCAAACAUAUUAGACAACUUUAUCAAAAACAAUCAAUUUGUAACUACAUGCAUACCAAAUGUUCCAGGUUGCAUAUCAAUAUCGAUAUUCUUAAAAAAGUAAUUAGCAAAACAGUUUAUAUAUAUGAAAAAUCAAAGCUAAGCCAUUUGUUUACGUAAAGCUUGUAUAAACAACAUUGUAUAUUUUUUAUACAUUAGAAACAUUUUUUUUGCGUGUGACAUAGAAACAUUAUUGAGUUUUGAUGUCUAAUUUUUUAAUAAACAUUUUACAUAUUUUGUAUGCAUCAUGAACAUUUUUUAUAUACAUGUUUUACAUUAUUCAAAUGCACGAUUAACAUUUUUGAAAAGUUCUAUUUUUUAUGUCUACUUUGUUCCAUACACAUUAUAUACUUUUGUAUAUGUUUUCUUAUACACCGGAAACAUUUUUCUAUGCAUAUUUAAAGUUUUUUAAAUACAUGAUCAAUAUUUUUUAAAAUAAAAGAAAAUAUAUUAUUUAUUGUCCAUACUACAAUUUUUUUAAUAUAUGGGAACUUUUUUGUCUGGAAAUUUAACGUUUCUUUAAUCCAUAAUUAACAUUUGUGCAAAGUUUAUCAAAAUAAAGGCAAAAUAGAAAAAAAAAGUAGAAAAAGUGCAAAAUAAAAGGAAAAAAGGUUUGUAGGACGCUAUCGGGAUCGAACCUAGGUCUCCUGGGGUGAGACAGCACGAACCCAACCUGUUGGGCUAGCCUUAUGCUAGUGAUAAUAUACGGAAACGCAUCCUUUAGAAUUAAAAAGAAAGAGCCGAAUCGAAGUUUAAAAAACAAAUCAUUUUGUCACUUACGGAUGGCAUUGAUGAGUAAUUUUGAUAAACUUUAAGGGUAAAUUUAAUGACGUACCACAGAAGCAAUAUGUGUUUUAUUAGUAGGUAGGUAUAGGUGGGUAAUUUUGAUGAACUUUAGGAACAAAUUUAAUGACGUACCACAGAAGCAAUAGGUGCUUUAUUAGUGUAUAUAUAUAUAUAUAUAUAUAUAUAUAUAUAUAGGUAANNNNNNNNNNNNNNNNNNNNNNNNNNNNNNNNNNNNNNNNNNNNNNNNNNNNNNNNNNNNNNNNNNNNNNNNNNNNNNNNNNNNNNNNNNNNNNNNNNNNAUCAAUAAGUGAUCCUGAUCACCUACUUACGUCAAUCAUAACCCCACCAUGUUCUCGAUCGAAGAGAGAUCUUCGAAGGGGACAGUCACAGUUACGCACACAGUUGGCAAUUUUAUUAGAUUAGAUUCAAGUUAUCUAUAACCGGAUGUUAACAAAUAUUCCAAGUUGCCACAUAACCACGGUCACGACUUUCCGAAAGAUUAAACCCUACAGGGGUGCUCCAACUAGCCCAUCACAAAUGGUCACGGGCCGCAAAGUAAUCCUCUAUCACGAAUCUCGUGAUCUCGUCAAAUUCCUUAGAGGAAAACCUCAACUGCGGGGAGAACCAAAGCUUCCCCGGUAUUCCUAUACGCAAGAUAUAUCGCUAAGGUAAGACAAGACUAGCAGGACCCCCCGUCGUGUCGACGACCCCGAUAAGAGCCUUGUAUCUCAGUCUCAGGACACGAUGGAUGAGCUAGACGUCGGGAUGGCUAAACCUCUAGGUGACCACAGGGGCCCCGGACAUCGCUCAGGUGGGACCAACACUCAUGAGGAGCACUGGCCUGGGUUGUUGAUUAACUCCUCAGGGUGGCCAUUCCCUAUGCAGAUUAUUAUUAAGUGAUUAGCAAAUUAAAACCAAUGUUGGGUCCUCCCGGACAAGUCUUAACACUACACGAUUUAUCAAGGGGGUCCCCAUAACAACCCCGAACAUGUUAGGAGCGAUCAGUUAUUGAAUCAAACACCGGUAGACGGUAACUAAGGCAGCAAUAACGAAACAAAACACCCGGCAAAAGGCUAGGCCUUCCGUUAUUUACCAAGUAUAUAGGUGCAUUAAUUAAAUAAAAGAAUUAAUAUAAUGAUAUCAAACUCAUGUUAUCACAUGAGACAAUUGCACCUGCAACUAGCAACGCUAACAUUAGUAGCUGAGCAAAGCCUACUUAGCCAUUCAAGAUUUGCUAGGAAGGGACAAGUGUUUGGGUUUCAUGGCAUUAUCAGGAGGCAAUUAUUUCAAUGGUAGGCAGCGAGCAUAUGACGAAGGGAACGUGAAUCUAGCAUAACANNNNNNNNNNCAUGGAAUCAAGGUCAUAUCAUCUUGCCUAUGAUGUCCUCAGCUUGGAACUGCUCUUGUUCGUCCUGCACAUACUCGUUCUCCGAUCCCGGUGCUACCCAACAUAAAAAUAGCAUCCAAUGAACAACAACACAACAAGAUGCCACAAGCACAUGAUGCAUGAGAUGAAAAUGAACAUGCAACUCUAUUUUAGUCACUUGCACAAGCAUGAGAAGAAAAUACAAGUUCCUGGACAUAACUGCACUCUAAGCUAUCUUGACAUGCAUGAGGAUGACAUGAACAGAUGCGUCACGCGAAAACGAUGCAAAAACAUAUAAAGAACGUUACGAAUGGAGCUACGAAUCAACCGGAAACAACGGAAAAAGAAAUAGAGUCCUACGUAACAAAUUCAUCACAACACACUCCAAUGGCAUACUUCUGGUAUUCCCAGGUUGCCAAAUCACAAAACAAACAAGUAUGGAUGGGGUGGUGCAAGGAAUAUCACCACACCAUCAACUAUGCACUCACAAGCAUCAAAUCAUCAAAAUUAUACAUGCUGUCAUAAACAGCAUCAGCAGUUUGAGGGCUACAUGCAAAGCACCUAGAGCCACCCAAAUAUGCCAAGUAGGAUAUGUGGCAGAAGCUAUUCAAAAUCUCUACAAGCAUGAGCAAAAAGCUAAUGCAAAGGAGUUACACACAUAAAGUUCUACAUCUGCUAACUCGGACAAAAAUAUCAGUUUUCAGGGACUUAGUGAAAAUUCCAGAUUCUCACUAGCUGUUUAUGCUCUGAAGCAUUUUGACAACACCCAAAACAAUAUCUACAGGACACCAAAAGGAAUGAAAAUUGACAAAGAGCUAGACAAACACAAAAGCUACAACUUUCCAGUUGAUAGCAAAGGCUGAUUCCCAACACAUGGACUUCUACAAGCACAACAACAGGAGAAGAAANNNNNNNNNNGAUGGAAUCAAGGUCAUAUCAUCUUGCCUGUGAUGUCCUCAGCUUGGAACUGCUCUUGUUCGUCCUGCACGUACUCUCCCGGAUCCACGUACUCGUUCUCCAAUCCCGGUGCUACCCAACAUAAAAAUAGCAUCCAAUGAACAACAUCACAACAAGAUGCCACAAGCACAUGAUGCAUGAGAUGAAAAUGAACAUGCAACUCUAUUCUAGUCACUUGCACAAGCAUGAGAAGAAAAUACAAGUUCCUGGACAGAACUGCACUCUAAUCUAUCUUGACAUGCAUUAGGAUGACAUGAACAGAUGCCUCACGCGAAAGCAAUGCAAAAACAUAUAAAGAACGUUACGAACGGAGCUACAGAUCAACCAGAAACAACGAAACAAGAAAUAGAGUCCUACGUAACAAAUUCGUCACAAUACACUCCAAUGGCAUACUUCUGGUAUUCCCAGGUUGCCAAAUCACAAANNNNNNNNNNNNNNNNNNNNNNNNNNNNNNNNNNNNNNNNNNNNNNNNNNNNNNNNNNNNNNNNNNNNNNNNNNNNNNNNNNNNNNNNNNNNNNNNNNNNACAAGACAAAUACAUGGAUGAAUGGAAUGGCUGCAUCCAUGCAAAGGAAAGACAAGGGAAGCAUCACAUGAAAUAACACAUGUAUUGAACUCUCAAAUCAAUGACAAGGUGGACCCACAUACAGGAGGUUCCAAAUAUGGUAAGGUACACUCUUGGGGCAUUACAAACUCUCCUACACUACAAAAAGAUCUCGCCCCGAGAUCUAAGACUGAAAGAACUCCGGAAAUUCAGAACGGAGGUGAUCCUCGCGUUCCCAAGUAGCCUCUUUAUCGGAAUGGUGUGACCACUCCACUUUGAGAUAUUUGACACUCUUGUUGCGGGUCUUGCGCUCAGUCGCCUCGAGAACCGCAAUUGGAUGCUCACGAUAGGAUAGGUCGGGUUGAAGGUCGAUGUCUUGAAGAUGAUUAGUGCGCUCGGGAGUCUUGAAGCAUCUCCGGAGCUGAGAGACAUGGAACACGUCAUGUACAUUUGCGAAGUUGGAAGGGAGCUCGAGCUGGUACGCAAGGUCGCCUCUCUUGCCAACAACUCUGAAAGGACCAACGAAACGANNNNNNNNNNCACAUUUGCAAAGUUGGACGGGAGCUCGAGCUAGUAUGCAAGGUCGCCUCUCUUGCCAACAACUCUGAAAGGACCAACGAAACGAGGCGCAAGCUUGCCUUUAAUGCCAAANNNNNNNNNNNNNNNNNNNNNNNNNNNNNNNNNNNNNNNNNNNNNNNNNNNNNNNNNNNNNNNNNNNNNNNNNNNNNNNNNNNNNNNNNNNNNNNNNNNNCACCAGCCCACCUAGGGGCUGGUUCCCUUCCCCACUUGGCCCAUCUAGCCUCCCGGGGUCGUUGCCCCCUUUCGGUGGACCCCCGGGGACACCUUCGGUGGUCCCGGUGGUCCCGAUACGUUACCGGUGAUGCCCGAAACACUUCCGGUGUCCGAAACCAUCUGUCCUAUAUAUCAAUCUUUACCUCCGGACCAUUACGGAGCUCCUCAUGACGUCCGGGAUCUCAUCCGGGACUCCGAACAACUUUCGAUAACCUCGUAUAACAAUUCCCUAUAACCCUAGCGUCAUCGAACCUUAAGUGUGUAGGCCCUACGGGUUCGGGAGACAGGCAGACAUGACCGAGACACCUCUCCGGCCAAUAACCAUCAGUAGGGUCUGGAUACCCAUGGUGGAUCCCACUUUCUCCACGAUGAUCUCAUCGGAUGAACCACGAUGUCAAGGAUUCAAUCAACCCCGUAUACAAUUCCCUUUGUCUGUCGGUAUAGAACUUGCCCGAGAUUCGAUCGUUGGUAUACCUAUACCUUGUUCAAUCUCGUUACCGGUAAGUCUCUUUACUCGUUCCAUAGUACGUCAUCGUGUGACUAACUCCUUAGUCACAUUGAGCUCAUGAUGAUGUUCUACCGAGUGGGCCCAGAGAUACCUCUCCGUCACACGGAGUGACAAAUCCCGAUCUUGAUUCGUACCAACCCAACAGACACUUUGAGAGAUACCCGUAGUGCACCUUUAUAGUCACCCAGUUACGUUGUGACGUUUGAUACACCCAAAGCACUCCUACGGUAUCCGGGAGUUGCACAAUCUCACAGUCGAAGGAAAAGACACUUGACAUUAGAAAAGCUUUAGCAUACGAACAAUACGAUCUAGUGCUAUGCUUAGGAUUGGGUCUUGUCCAUCACAUCAUUCUCCCAAUGAUGUGAUCCCAUUAUCAAUGACAUCUAAUGCCCAUGACCAGGAAACCAUGAUCACCUAUUGACUAACGAGCUAGCCAACUAGAGGCUUGCUAGGGACACAUUGUGAUCUAUUUAUUCACACAUGUAUUACUGUUUCUUGUUAAUACAAUUAUAGCAUGAACAAUAGACGAUUAUCAUGAACAAGGUAAUAUGAUAAUAACCAUUUUAUUAUUGCCUCUAGGGCAUAUUUCCAACAAGGUCUACCAAGAAUAAUAGGGCAUGUAGGAUUGCAAUCAAUGUCAAGCACAAUGAAAUCCAUGGGUACGUAGUUCCUAUUUGCAAUAAUAAGAACAUCAUUGAUCCUUCCUAUGGGUUUCUUGACAGUACAAUCCACAAGAUGCAAAUUAAGAGAACACUCCUCAAUCUCAUUAAAACCCAGAACAUCACAUAAAGACUUUGGAAUCGCGGAAACACUAGCACCCAAAUCACACAAAGCAUUGCAUUCAUAGUUUUUGAUUUUGAUUUUGAUAGUAGGUUCCCACUCAUCAUGAAGCUUUCUAGGGAUAGAGACUUCCAAUUCAAGUUUCUCUUCAAGAGAUUUUAUCAUAGCUUCGACGAUAUGAUCGGUAAAGGCCUUGUUUUGGCUAUAAGCGUGUGGAGAGUUUAGCAUGGAUUGCAUAAAGGAAAUGCAUUCAAUCAAGGAGCAACUAUCAUAAUUGAGUUCCUUGAAAUCAAAAGUAGUAAUUUCAUUACUACUCAAAGUUUAAAAAUCGUCUACUCCACUUUUAAUGCUUUUAGCAUCAAGAUAGAUGGACUCCGAAUCAUUGGGGCGUUUUUCAACCAAGGUGGAUUCAUAUACAGACCCAUCAUCAUUAGGUUUGACACAAGAAAACAAAGAUUCAAUGGGAGUCACACCAAGCACUUUAAGAUCUUCGUGAUUCUCAUCACGAGUUUCAGGUUUAGCAGCCAUUUUAUUGACUAAGGUAGCGUGUUUAUCAGAAAUCUAGCCUACAAACUUUUCAAGACGAGCAAACUGAGAAUUUAGCGCAAGGAAUUCUUUGGCCAUAUCAUCAACUUCUUUAUUCUUAAAGGCCAAAAAAGAAUUUUGCUCCUUCAGUUCCUUACGGAAGUAAAUGUUAUAAUCAAACUGUGUAGACAUGAAGCCUUUAACACUAGUUGCAAUCUCUUCCAACCUCGCAUAGUGAGCAUCGAAAUCCCUUGGUUGGGCCAUACAGGUCUUAGCAGGCAGGCAAGCGAACAGAAAGCAAGCGAGAGAAAAGGGCAAACGAGAAAGGCAAACGAAAAAGGCAAAUAUUUUUGUAAUUUUUUUUUCAGAAGUGGGGGAGAGGAAAACGAGAGGCAAAAAAGUAAAUGCAAGAGAUGAGUUUGCGACACUUACUUGGAUGAGUUCUUGACUUGAUCCUCCCCGGCAACGGUGCCAGAAAUCCUCCUGCUACUUCUCAAACAACAGCGCGAGAAAUUGACACAUUGGCGGAGACUUGCUUGCGUUGGCUUUUCCCUUGAAGAGGAAAGGGUGAUGCAACACAGGAGCAGUAAGUAUUUCCCUCAGUUUGAGAACAAAGGUAUCAAUCCAGUAGGAGAAUCUCGUCAAGUCCAGAGUACCUGCACAAACACAAAAGAGCUUGCACCCAACGCUAUAAAGGGGUUGUCAAUCCCUUCAAGAUUGAUUGCAAAGUGAGAUCUGAACGCGAAAAGUGCAACGAAGAAAAAGAGUAAGGCUGAAAAUAUAGUUUGGAGUAGACCCGGGGGCCAUAGUGUUCACUAGAGGCUUCUCCCAAAAUAGCAAAUAUUACGAUGGGUGAACAAAUUACUGUCAAGCAAUUGAUAGAACCGCGCAAAGUCAUGACGAUAUCUAAGGCAAUGAUCAUACAUAUAGGCAUCACGUCUGAGACAAGUAGACCGAUACUUUCUGCAUCUACUACUAUUACACCACACAUCGACCGCUAUCGAGCAUGCAUCUAGUGUAUUGAGUUCAUAACAAAUGGAGUAACGCCUUAAUACUUUCUAUCAUGAGAGAAGCCUCUAGUGAUUUUGCGCGGUUCUAUAAAUUGCUCGACAGUAAUUCGUUCACCCACCGUAAUACUUGCUAUCAUGAGAGAAGCCUCUAGUGAACACUAUGGCCCCCGGGUCUACUUCACAUCAUAUUUUCAGCUCUAGACCUUUACUUUGUUGCGCUUUCCACCUUCAGAUCUCACAUUGCAUUUAAUCGUGAAGGGAUUGACAACCCCUUUAUAGCGUUGGGUGCAAGUUUGUUUGUUUUUUUGCAGAUACUUUGGAGACUUGCCUUGAUACUCCUAGUGGAUUGAUACCUUGGUUCUCAAACUGAGGGAAAUACUUACUGCUACUGUGCUGCAUCACCCUUUCCUAUUCAAGGGAAAAACCAACGCAAGAUCAAGAGGUAGCAAGAAGAAUUUCUGGCACCGUUGCCGGGGAGUAUCAAGUCAAGAAUAGUCUUCCUCCAACGUGUCAAUUUCUGGCACCGUGGACUAUUCUAAGUGAAGCUUAUUCAAGUAACUGUCGCAAACUCAUCUCUUGCAUUUAGUUUUUUGCCUCUCGUUUUCCUCUCCCCCACUUCUGAAAAACAAAAAUUACAAAAAUAUUUGCCUUUUUCGUUCGCCCUUUUCUUUCGCUUGCUUUUUGUUUGCUUGUGUGCUUGUCUGCUUGUUGAAGUCACCAUGACUGAAAACACCAAACUUUGUGACUUCUGAAUACUAAUAAUACUGAUUUUAUAAGUACUCCGGUUGCUCCCGCCACUAGUGCGGAAUCAUAUGAAAUCAAGGCUGCUUUGCUGAAUCUUGUUAUGAAAGAACAAUUUUCCGACCUUCCUUGUGAAGAUGCCGCAUCCCAUCUUAACACCUUCAUUGAGUUAUGCGAUAUGCAAAAUAAGAAAGAUGUGGAUAAUGAUGUGAUUAAAUUGAAGCUAUUUCCGUUCUCACUGCGAGAUCGAGCAAAAACUUGGUUUUCAUCUUUGCCCAAAAAUAGUAUUGAUUCUUGGAACAAGUGCAAAGAUGCUUAUAUAUCCAAGUAUUUUCCACCAGCUAAGAUUAUCUCUCUCCGUAAUGAUAUCAUGAAUUUUAAGAAACUAGAUCAUGAAAAUGUUGCACAAUCUUGGGAGAGAAUGAAAUUGAUGAUUAGAAAUUGUCCCGCUCAUGACUUGAGUCUGUGGAUGAUUAUCAAAUUUUCUAUGCUGGUUUGAAUUUUGCUUCUAGAAAUAUCUUGGAUUCCGCCUCCGCUGGAACUUCCAUGGAAAUCACACUAGGAUAAUCCACAAAACUCCUAGACAAUAUCAUGACAAACUAUUCUCAGUGGCACACUGAAAGGUCACCUACUAGUAAAAUAAUACAUGCUAUAUAAGAAAUUAACUCUUUGAGUGCUAAGAUGGAUGAGUUAAUGAAAUUGUUUGCUAUUAAAGGUGCUCCUUUAGAUCCAAAUGGUAUGCCUUUGUCUUCCUUGAUUGAGAGUAGCAAUGAGAGCUUGGAUGUUAAUUUUGUUGGUAGGAAUAAUUUUGGCUACAACAAUGCUUUUAGAGGAAACUAUAUUCCUAGGCCUUUUCCUAGUAAUCCCUCUAAUAACUUUGGCAAUUCCUACAACAAUGCUCAUGGAAAUUACUAUAAAUUACCCUCUGAUCUAGAGAGUAAUAUUAAAGAGUUUAUCAACUCGCAAAAGAUUUUCAAUGCGUCCAUAGAAGAAAAACUGCUCAAAAUUGAUGACUUGGCUGGGACAGUUAAUAGAAUGUCUCUUGAUGUUGAUGCUUUGAAAUUGAGAUGUGAUCCUCCCAAGAUUAAUAUGGAUGAAACUUUGAAAGCUAUGCAUGUUUCCAUGAAUGAGAGUAAAGAAAGAACCGCCCAAAUUCGUGCUAGACAUGAAUGGCUUAAAAGGGCAUGUUCCCGUGAUGAGAAUCACGAAGAUCUUAAAGUGCUUGGUGUGACUCCUAUUGAAUCCUUGUUUUCUAAUGUCAAACCUAAUGAUGAUGGGGCUGGAUAUGAAUCCACUUUGGUUGAGAAGCGCCCCAAUGAUUCGGAGUCUAUUUACCUUAACACUAAAAACAUUGAAAGUGGAGUAGAGGAUAUCAAAACUUUGAGUAGUAAUGAAAUUACUAGUUUGGAUUUCAAGGAAUUCAAUUAAAAUAGUUGCUCUUUGAUUGAAUGUAUUUCCUUGAUGCAAUCCAAGCUAAACUCCCCACACGCUUAUAGCCAAAACAAGGCCUUUACCGAUCAUAUCGUCUAUGCUAUGAUGAAAUCUCUUGAAGAGAAACUUGAGUUGGAAGUUUCUAUUCCUAGAAAACUUCAUGAUGAGUGGGAACCUACUAUCAAAAUCAAGAUCAAAAACUAUGAAUGCAAUGCUUUAUGUGAUUUGGGUGCUAGUGUUUCCGCUAUUCCAAAGUCUUUAUGUGAUGUUCUAGGCUUCAAUGAGAUUGAUGGGUGCUCUCUUAAUUUGCAUCUUGCGGAUUCUACUAUUAAGAAACCUAUGGGAAGGAUCAAUGAUGUUCUUAUUAUUGCAAAUAGGAACUAUGUACCCGUAGAUUUCAUUAUGCUUGAUAUUGAUUGCAAUCCGACAUGUCCUAUCAUUCUUGGUAGACCUUUCCUAAGGACUAUUGGUGCUAUCAUCGAUAUGAAGGAAGGGAAUAUUAGAUUUCAAUUUCCAUUGAAGAAGGGCAUGGAACAUUUUCCUAGAAAGAAAAUAAGAUUGCCUUAUGAAUCCAUGAUGAGGGCUACUUAUGGUUUGAGUACCAAAGACGACGAUACGUGAUUCUAUCGCCUUAUGCCUAGCUAAGGGCGUUAAACAAUAGCGCUUGUUGGGAGGCAACCCAAUGAAUUUAUCUUUGCUUUUUUCUUUCUGUUUUGUUGUGUCCACACCAUCAUAAUUCUGUUAUGAUUGUGUUUUUUGUGUUUCUUUUUGUGUUUGAGCCAAGUAAAACCUUUAUGACUAGUUUUGGUGAUGGUUGUUUGAUCUUGCUGGAAAAGACAGAAACUUUGCGCUCACGAAAUUAUUUUUCAUUCCUAUCCAGAAAGAGCUUUUGAGUUCAUUAUUUUUUCUGCUGGUUGAUAUGCCAAUUUCCCAAAUUGUCAUAAUUGUUCAGAAUUUUUGAGAUACCAUAAGUAUACGAAGUAUACAGAUUGCUACAGACUGGUCUAUUUUUGAAAGAUUCUGUUUUUGUUGUGUUGAUUGCUUAUUUUGAUGAAACUAUAGAUAGUAUCGGGGGGUACUAGCCAUGGAAAAGUGAUAAUAUAGUAAUCUAACAUCAAUAUAAAUAGAAAUCAAGUUUUCUACAGUACCUAAAGAGGUGGUGGUUUGUUUUCUUGUGCUAAUGAUAUCACGAGUUUCUGUUUAAAUUUUGUGUUGUGAAGUUUUCAAGUUUUGGGUGAUGUUCUCAUGGACAAUGGGAUAAAGAGUGGAAAGAGCUCAAGCUUGGGUAUGCCCAAGGCAUCCCAAGCCAAAUUCAAGGACACCAAAAAGCCUAAGCUUGGGGAUGCUCCGGGAAGGCAUCCCAUCUUUCGUCUUCAAUCCAUCGGUAACGUUACUUGGAGCUAUAUUUUUAUUCACCACAUGAUAUGUGUUUUGCUUGGAGCGUCGUGUAUUAUAGGAGUCUUUUCUUUUUGUUGUGUCACAAUCAUCCUUUCUGCACACCGUUUUUUAUAGAUACAGGCACUCAUCGUGAUUUUGCUAGAAUACUCAUUGAGCUUCGCUUAUAUCUUUUGGGUUAGGCAAUUUAGCUCGCAUGUGCUUCACUUAUAUCUUUUGAGCUAGAUAACUUUGCUCUAGUGCUUCACUUAGAUCUUUUUAGAGCACGGCGGUGUCAUAUUUUGGAGAAAUAAGAACUCUCGAUCUUCACUUAUAUCUUUUUGAGAGUGCUCUCUCUGAGCAACUUGGUAAUUGGCUUGUGCCAUGAAAGUAGUCCUAAGGAUGUUAGGCAUCCAAAGAGGAUAUAAUAAAAACUUCCAUAUUCAUGUGCAUUGAUUAGUAAAGAUAGGUUUUAUUCCUCUCAGUUAGUUUUGAGACAUGGAUUUGGUAAUAUUAGAGUUAUGUUAGUAGGGUGUUGUGAAUCUAGAAAUACUUGUGUUGAAGUUAGUGAUUCCCGUAGCAUGCACGUAUGGUGAACCGCUAUGUUAGGAAGUUGGAGCAUAAUUGAUUUAUUGAUUGUCAUCCUUUGUGUGGCGGUCGGGAUCGCGCGAUGGUUAACACCUACCAACCCUUCCCCUAGGAGUAUGCGUUUACACUUUGUUUCAAUUACUAAUAAAACUUUCGCAAUAAGUAUUUGAGUUCUUAAUGACUAAUGUGAGUCCAUGGUAUAGAUGCACUUUCACCUUCCACCAUUGCUAGCCUCUCUAGUGUCGUGCAACUUUCGCCGGUGCACAAACCAACCAUAUACCUUCCUCAAAACAGCCACCAUGCCUACCUAUUAUGACAUUUUCGUAGCCAUUCCGAGAUAUAUUGCCAUGCAACUCCCACCGUUCCGUCUCAUGACUUGUGCCAUCAAUUUCAUAUUGCCAUUGCAUGAUCAUAAGAUAGCUAGCGAGAUGUUGCAACGUCACACGCUAAGCUAGAUCGUUGCACAUCCCGGUACACUGCCGGAGGCAUCUCCUCUAGAGUCAUCAUUGCUCUAAGCAUUGAUCUAUGAGUAAAUAAAAGUGUGAUGAUCAUCAUUAUUAGAGCAUUGUCCCAUGUGAGGAAAUAAAAAAAUAAAGAGGCCAAAGAUGCCCACCAAAAAAAAUAUGAAAAGAGGCCAGAGAGCCCAAAAAAGAGAGAAGAGAGAAAAAGAGAGAAGGGACAAUGCUACUAUAUUUUUCCACACUUGUGCUUGACAAUAGCACCAUGUUCUUCAUGAUUGAGAGUCUCUUGUUUUGACAUUUCCAUAUACUAGUGGGAAUCUUCAUUAUAUAAACUGGCUUGUAUAUUCCUAUGAUGGGCUUCCUCAAAAUUGCCCUAGGUCUUCAUGAGCAAGCAAGUUGGAUGCACACCCACUAGUUCUUCUUUUGAGCUUUCACACACUUAUAGCUCUUGUGCAUCCGUUGCAUGGUAAUCCCUACUCAUUCACAUUGAUAUCUACUGAUUGGCAUCUCCAUAGCCCAUUAAUACGCCGAGUCAAUGUGACCAUCUCCUCCUUUUUGCCUCACAACCUCGACUACACUCUAUUCCACCUAUAAGUGUUAUAUCCAUGGCUCACGCUCAUGUAUUGCGUGAGAGUCGAAAAAGUUUGAGAAAGUAAGAGUGUGAAAACAAUUACUUGGCCAAUACCGGGGUUGUGCAUGAUUUAAAUUCGUUGUGUGGGGAUGAUGGAGCAUAGCCAGACUAUAUGAUUUUGUCGGGAUAACUUUCUUUGGCCUUGUUAUUUCAAAAUUUCAUGAUUACCUUGCUAGUUUGCUUGAAGUAUUAUUGUUUUCAUGUCAAUAGAAAACUAUUGUUUUGAAUCUUACGGAUCUGAACAUUCAUGUCACAUGAAAGAAGUUACAAAGGACAAGUAUGUUAGGUACCAUUCCACAUCAAAAAUUCAGUCUUUAUCACUUCCCUCCUCGAGGACGAGCAAGAGUUAAGCUUGGGGAUGCUUGAUACGUCUCCAACGUAUCUAUAAUUUUUUAUUGUUCCAUGCUAUUAUCUUGUCAUAUUUGGAUGUUUUGUAUGCAUGAAUAUGCUAUUUUAUAUCUUUUUUGGGACUAACUUAUUAACCCAGUGCCGAGUGCUAGUUCCUGUUUUUUUCCAUGUUUUUGACUUUUUCAGAGGAGAAUAUUAAACGGAGUCCAAACGGAAUAAAACCCGCGGAAUGAUUUUUUUCAUAACAGAAAAGACGCAGGAGACUUGAGAACCAAGGCAGGGGACCUCGGAGGAGGUCACAAGCCACCCAGGCCCGACCUAGGGGGGCGGGCCUAGCAGGCUUGUGGGCCCCCUGUGGGUCCCCUACCCUAGUUCUUCCACCUAUAAAUUCCCUAAAAAUAUGAAACCACGGAGGAGAGCCACGAAAAUACUUUUCCGCCGCCGCAAGGUUCUUGUCUCCGCAAUAUCCCAUCUGGGGCACGUUCUGGUGCCCUGCCGGAGGGGGGAUUCGGACACGGAGGGCUUCUUCAUCAACACCAUUGCCUCUCCGAUGAUGCGUGAGUAGUUCACCAUAGACCUUGGGGUCCAUAGCUAGUAGCUAGAUGGCUUCUUCUCUCUCUUGGAUCUUCAAUACAAAGUUCUCCAUGAUCUUCAUGGAGAUCUAUCCGAUAUAAUCUUCUUUUGCGGUGUGUUUGCCGAGAUCCGAUGAAUUGUAAAUUUAUGAUCAGAUUAUCUAUGAAUAUUAUUUGAGUUUCCUCUGAUCUCUUAUAUGCAUGAUUUCGUAUCCUUGUAAUUCUCUUCGAGUUAUGGGUUUCGUUUGGCCAACUUGAUCUAUAAUUCUUGCAAUGGGAGAAGUUCUUGGUUUUGGGUUCAUACCGUGCGGUGACCUCACCCAGUGACAGAAGGGGCAGCGGGGCACGUAUCGUGUUGUUGCCAUCAAGGGUAAAAAGAUGGGGUUUAUAUCUAUUGCAUGAAUUUAUCCCUCUACAUCAUGUCAUCUUGCUUAAGGCGUUACUCCAUUUGUUAUGAACUUAAUACACUAGAUGCAUGCUGGAUAGCGGUCGAUGUGUGGAGUAAUAGUAGUAGAUGCAGAAAGUAUCGGUCUACUUGUCUCGGACGUGAUGCCUAUAUGUAUGAUCAUUUCCUUAGAUAUCAUCAUGACUUUGCGCGGUUCUAUCAAUUGCUCGACAGUAAUUCGUUCACCCACCGUAAUACUUGCUAUCAUGAGAGAAGCCUCUAGUGAACACUAUGGCCCCUGGGUAUACUUCACAUCAUAUUUUCAGCUCUACACCUUUACUUUGUUGCGCUUUCCACCUUCAGAUCUCACCUUGCAUUUAAUCGUGAAGGGAUUGACAACCCCUUUAUAGCGUUGGGUGCAAGUUUGUUUGUUUUUGCGCAGGUACUUUGGAGACUUGCCUUGAUACUCCUACUAGAUUGAUACCUUGGUUUUCAAACUGAGGGAAAUACUUACUGCUACUGUGUUGCAUCACCCUUUCCCCUUCAAGGGAAAAACCAACGCAAGCUCAAGAGGUAGGAGUUGUCACGCCCAAGAUGUGACCCUAUCCUCAGUUUGGCACGAAGGCCUCGUCAGGGAUAGAAGCGCAUCUCGUCGUGUCGCAAGAAUGGAUAUCGUUACAAGUACAUGUAAUGAAAAGAAGAGAUAUAUACAGAGUUGGCUUACACUCGCCACAAGCUACAUCAGAGUCACAUCAGUACAUUACAUAAUCAUCAAGAGUAAGAGCAGGGUCCGACUACGGACGAAAACAAACGAGAAAAAUAAGAACGACGUCCAUCCUUGCUAUCCCAGGCUGCCGGCCUGGAACCCAUCCUAUAUCGAUGAUGAAGAAGAAGAAGCAACUCCAAAUGAACAAUCAACGCACUCGCGUCAAGUACCCUUUACCUGUACCUGCAACUGGUGUUGUAGCAAUCUGUGAGCCAUAGGGGACUCAACAAUCUCAUUUCCAAAGGUAUCAAGACUACCAAAGCUUAAUGGGUGAGACAUGGUUGAGUAGUGAGGUUGCAGCAGCGACUAAGCAUAUAUUUGGUGGCUAAACUUACGAGUACAAGAAAUAAGAGGGUGAAGAUCUACGCAUAGCGGACAUGAACUACUGAUGAUCAAAUGAAUGAUCCUGAACACCUACCUACGUCAGACAUAACCCCACCGUGUCCUCGAUCGGAGUAAGAACUCACGAAAGAGACAUUCACGGUUAUGCACACAGUUGGCAUGUUUAAUUUAAGUUAACUUCAAGUUAUCUAGAACCAGUGUUAAACAAAGUUUCCACGUUGCCACAUAACCGCGGGCACGGUUUUCCAAAAAAGAUUUAACCCUGCAGGGAUGCUCCAACUAGUCCAUCACAAAUUACCACAAGCCGCAUAGAAAUCCUCAAUCACGAAGCUCGCGAUCUCGUCGGAUUCCCUAGUGGAAAACCUCAACUCUGAGAUUACCCAAAGCAUUACCGGAAUCCCGAUGCACAUGAUAUCUCGUCAAAGGUAAAACUAAUCCAGCAAGGCCGCUCGGCGUGUCGACGAUCCCGAUAGGAGCCGCGUAUCUCGUUCUCAGGACACGGCAGAUAAGCUACGCGUACGAGUGCCAAACCUCGAGUUUCCUCGCGGUGGCCCCGCACAGUGCUUUGUUUUGGACCAGCACCAUCAGCACUUGCCCUCCCUGUAUUAUGUAGAAUUACUCCUCGGGUAGCGCUAACUCCCUAUGCAUUUCAAUUUAACAGAAUUAUUAUGUUGGGAAAAUGUAGUACCAAUGUUGGGCCUUGCCAGACCAGCUUUAAUCUAAAACGAAUUAUCAAGGGGGUCCCCAUAACAACCCCGAUCGUGUUAGGAGCGCUCGAUUAUGGAACAUAACACCGGUAGCCGAAACUAAGGGGGCAAAGGUGGAACAAAACACCAGGCUAGAAAGGCCGAGCCUUCCACCUUUUACCAAGUAUAUAGGUGCAUUAAAUUAAAUAGCAUUAAUAUGGUGAUAUGACAAGGAACCCAUGUUUUCACAUGGAAGCAUCUGCACCUGCAACUAGCAACGCUAACACAGAGUUAAGCAAGCGGUAACAUAGCCAAUCAGUGGUUUGCUAGGUUGAACAGGUUGAAGGUUUCAUGGCAUUGUUGAGAGGCUGAUAUUUAACAUGUGGUAGGCAACGAGACAUAAUCGAUAGAAGCGAUAAAACUAGCAUGGCAAUGAUAGUAAUGGUAUCUGGGGAAAUGAUCAUCUUGCCUGAGAUCCAGCUUGGAAGAAGAAUGACUCCGUGAAGCAGACGAACCGACGUAGUCGAACGGGUCCUCACAAUCCGGCACGCUGCGGAACUCUAUCGAGACGAAGCAAACCGGAAACACAAAUCAACACACGGAAUUCACCACACGAUGCACAACACAUAUGAUGCAUGAGCAGUUGAAUACAUGCAAGUCACGGCAUGACAAUUCACACAAUCAAACACUACACAUUAAGUGAAGUUCAAUAUGCAACGAGUUGCAUAUUGACGAAACUCCACAUAUGAAUUAUUUAGUUCACUCCCGGUUAUUUACACGGCAAUAUUAAUGUUGUAAAACAUGCAAGAGGUGAAGCGGAAAUUAAACUACCUAUCUAGACAUUUUAAAUGAGGUCGGAAAUGACAUAUAGCAUCUCCGAGACGACCUCACAUGUUAAUUUACAAUUCUGUCCAGAUCUGAAUUAACACAUUUAAUUAGUUGUUAAACAGCAAAACAAAUAGGUUCACGUGAUUCUACGCGUCAUUUCAAGCAAUUUACGCAUAGAGAUCAUCUCCAACGGAGCUACGGUUCAAAAGAUACGGACACCGCAAGAUAUGAUGGCAUGAAUGCAAUAUGUGUGCACGGCGGUCACGAGCACUUCAAAACAUACAACCAGCAAAAUAAAAUGAAACUACACGAGAUUCUAAGCAAGUUUCAUGUAGGACACGAUCAAAUCGGAGCUACGGUUCAACAACUACGAGCAAAACAAGAAAUCUCUACAAUCUGCCAAAAUCAGCCACAUAGCAUUUUCUACGCCCCACAACUACGGGCUACACUACUCCGAUAAACUCAAGCAAGGCAUGACACGAAAGAGGGCAAGAAGCACUACUACAAACAACUAACAACAUCUAGCAUGGCAUCAUGGAUCACUAGGGAAAGAAGACACAAAAUGGCAUCCCACACACUAUUUCAGACUUAUUGAAAAUAACACUUCAUGAAAGUGCAGUUUUCGGUCUGAAGGCAUAUUGACAGCAGAAAAACCUAUAGCUACAGGACUCCAAAUGGCAUGAAAAUUCACAGCGUUCUAGAGAAGCACAAGGGCUACAACUAACUCCGUUGGACCAACCUCAAAAGAGCUACAGAUCAAAAGAUACAAGCAAGACAAGACAGCAACAAAAUAUAACAGAUUCCAGACUUAGAAAUAUUUCAGCUCCUCCAAAUCAGCACUAUUUCUCGCAACUUGAGAGCAAGCAAAUCACACCUAAACAUGCAUUUCUAUUGCAACCAAAAAUACAGGGGCUAGAAUAAACACCCAAGAACAACUCCCUAGUUGACAACUUAAUCAACCGGAGCACGAAAUAAAUCCUACGAAAAAGACAAGAGGGCAACAUGGCAAAAUAUCGCGCGAACUAACUUGCUCUAACGCUAAAACUAAUUGCACAUGGGAUUUUUCUACCCCGAAAACAUAUAAAAUAUGUGGGGUUGCACAACAAUAUAAUGCCACACGAAAAUGCGAGAAAAUAAUCUAUACACGGGAAAAUAAACUACCGGCACACCCUACACGCAAAAAUGCCAAAGUCUACUCUAAAAUACAUGGAAAAAUGGUUCCUAAAACAUGGACAUUUAUACUACGGCAUCCGAGCAAUUCGAAUGCACGCGGAAAAAUAAUACGGGCUAUAUUCUAUGUGGACAGCACACUAAUCUAUGUAUUUGACAUGUUAAACUAUGUCAAAUAAUUAUGCAAGUUGUGAUAUCGUUUUCUACUCGCAAAACUACCCCAAAACCAUAUACAACAUGCCUCGUUCCGACAUACGGAAUAAAAGAUACGGUCGAAAGAAUAUACGCUAUUUUUCUGGAAUUAUCUAAUUCUAAAAAAAUAACCUAAAUAUUAAACGGGCCGAACAUGGGUUGCAAGAUACUAUCUAGCGCACGGGGCGGGGAAUAGUGUACAUGGGGCUCACCUUGGGGGCCUCUUGGGCCGGAUCUGGCCGUGAGGGAGUUGGGCCACGGGGGAAGAGGGCGAGGCAGGCCGGCGAGGUGGGCCACGUGGGAGGGAGAAGCUGGGCCUCGGGGGCGAGGGGGCCCAGGCGCUGGCGAGCGGUCACGGGCACUGCCCUCGUCCUCCCGUGCUCAGCACGAGGCCAUGGCGCCUGGCCGGCGGCGGCACCAGGCGGGGCUCGAUCCGGCGGGGAAGAAGGGGAAUCGGUGGGGGUCGGCCGGAUCUGGAGGGACCCGGGCACGGGAGCCCCAUUCCCAGCGGCGACGGCGAGCUCCGGGCGGAGGACGGCGAGGCGGCAGGAGACGACCAUGUGCGAGGAAGGCUGCGCGCGGCGGUGAUCCGUCGACGAGGGUCUCCGGCGAGGCCUAGCGAGGAGGCGGCGACGAGGAGGCGGCGGAGCACCUCGGCAGGGAAGGUCUCGCGGCCGGCGGCGACGCUCGAUGGCCGGCGUGGGGCGCUGCGUAUCUCGGGAGGAGGAGAGUUGCACGGCGGCGGCUGGCUCGGGCCAGGCGAGCAAGCGACGGCGCGGAUCUGGACCCGGCGGGCCUCGGAUGGGCUCGGGCGGGCCCGCGAGGCUGGUGGGGAGAGAAAGCUAGGGUUAGGACGGCUGCGCGGAUUUCGAGGCAAAGGGGGUGGCUGCCUAAAAAAUAGGAGGAUGGGUAUAUUUAUAACAAAUGGGGGCUAGGUUAGCCGGAAUCGCGUUCCGGAUCCAACCGCGGGGUCGGGUUCGACUAAUUCCGAACGGGAAAAUGGUUACGAGGCCGAGAAGGGUGGAUAUCCAGAGACGAGAGGGAAAACGAGCGACGCGGCAACGAAAUUUAAAACACCGACAGACGUCCGACGGUAGACCGAAUAUGGUGCCGCUACGGUCGACCGUUCGGGUACCAGACGGUCUCCGAUCGCGAAGAAAUUCGACAGGCAGCCUAGCUAUAUCUAAUUACGACCGCAUACCAAGUUUCACCUCGAUCAGAGAAAGUUUUGAACGCACUUUUAAAACAGGGUUUCGACGAUGCCGUGGGCGCGUGCGAGUGCGGUCGGGCUCGGAACGGACAACGACGAGAACCGGCAACUAACAACGGAUGCAAGUUUUGAAAAUGGGCGGCAACGGGAUGCCGAUGCAAUGCUGAUGAUGCGCAUGAUGCGAUGAUGAUGCAACAAAUUAAAAUAACCACACGACGAAAACGGAAUAAAGGGGGAAUCUUCUAGGGCGUCGGCAUCGGGCUGUCACAGCAGUGGCCCCGGAUGGUGGUCCCCAUGGUCGGCUCUCCUGCGGGCCUCAUCGCGGCGGUGGUGGCUUACCCUUUUGGCCGUGUGAGCAGCAACGGGUAGGGGCUAGUGGCUCGGGAGCGUUUCAUGUCAAUGGCAUUGGCGUCGUCGAGAUCUAGAUGUGGGAGUUAGAACUUGCCACGAAUGGCCUGACGUCAUCGCGAUGGCACGGGUGAACUGCCGAGCGAAAGCUCCGCGCUUUGGCACGGCUGCCGCCCAGUUGGCGCCGCUAUCUUUUUGAAGACAUCGUUGUGGUUCUCCUCUCCGUGGCAAGACUUCGGGUGAAGAUCCAUGUCCGCUUCGUACUCGGCAGCGACGACGCUCAACACCGUUCUCCCUCUUGAGGGCGUUGUCAUGGAGUCUAGGUGUGCUAGGACGUGGCGUGGCGUGAAGUCGUGAUAUAAUAACUUUUUUACUUUGUAUCGUUCGAUCAUGUACUUUGUUACUUUAUCCAUAAAGAAAGCGUGACACAACAUGUUUUCGGCAGUAGCGUAAACGCUCUCCGAAGGCGGAAAAAAAGGCCCUCUCUCCUUGUCUUCGAUCCUCCUUAGAGCAACUCUAGCAGACCCCGCAUUCGUCCGGCCCGCAAAACGUGUUUGCAGUUCGCGUAAAUCAGUUUUUACGGGCUGAUCCGGGCUGCCACAGAUGCAGACCCCGCAAACGGCCCCGUAAAAGAACAUAUUCAUGGAAUAUGCUUUGGUGGGGGAAACGCGGGUUGAAAUGUCCCCCCACCAACCGCUUUCGCUCAUAUGCGGGGCACCGCAACGGCGAGGUGGAAACCCGCGAAUACACGGUUGGGACCGAGAUUUUGCCGUAUCCCGUAAAAUUAUUUACGGGCCGGGGCGGGAUGCGUGUCAUGAUCGGGCAGGUUUUUCUGCCCCGACCCGUAUUUUAACGGUUAUUUUUCGGUUCCGGACGGGUUGCGGGGUGUGCUAGACUUGGUCUUACUUCCUCUCCGCGACCUCUCCAUGACCGCCAAGAGCAGGAGGCAUCGCAGGUCGCCGGCAGCGAUGAUGAAUGGAAAGGCGUAGGCGAAGGAAGGCGACGCGGAGUGGCACGUCUCCUCGCGCUCCUUCGCCGACCUCGGUCUCCACCCCACCCUCUGCGCUCGCCUCCAAGUCCAAGGUCCCUCCCUGCCCCCUCUCUGAUUCCCCGUGUCUCUGUCGCCGGAUUGAUUUGGUAGUCCCCUAGCGGAACCAUAGGAGCCCGCGCCCUCAUAUGAUUUUCAAAUUUCCAAUCUGAGUGAUUAAAAUGUUUUUUCGUUGUUUGAGUACAAGUUUGAUACUAGAAGACGUGUCGAAACCGUCACCUAGUUUGACAGGAGAGAGUAAUAGCAUGUGAACAUUAGUGAAUUUUAUUGCAUUCCUGUUUAGAUUAAGUCGAAUUGCCGUCUUGAAAUCAGAAAUGGCAAUCCUCUCAGUGGACCCAAUACAGUGUCUAGGUAUGGCAGGCAGUGCAAUAAUCUACUUUACAGCAAAUCCACUGUCUAGGUAUGGCAUUUCCACUAAUCUCAUGUCUAGUGGACCGUGGAUCCAAUACAGUUCAUUCAUCAGGAAUUUAAAAGAACCACAGAAGCAAAGUAUUUUACAGUCGCCUUUUUGUUCACAUAGUUAAUAUUCGUUUAAAAAAACACCAGAUUCACUUGAAAAACUGUUCGAAUCUUACUGACAAUCUUACAUUUCAGUAGGUUUCCAUUUAGAUAUAGCAUAAAUUACUCUCCUUUUCCAUCCUUGUAGCAGCCAACUGCGAUCUUCAACAGCAAAGAAUUCCUCAUGCCAAAACAUGUUCUUCAUGUGUACUAUUAUCCUUAAGAUGGCUGGAUCGAUAGGAAGCUGUUGGAACCCGGCCUUGAGGCACCUUGCGUGCCACUGCCCGUGGAGCAAAUACUUUCCAAAUAGGAUGUUAAAUGCAUCCUUCCCAAAUAGGACCCUCUCAAUCAUCUUUCUCGCUCUAUUAUCCCGUGGAGCAACAUUUGCAUCGAGCAUAUCAAACAUUAAAGAGUACUGGAACAUAACCUCUUUGAAACGUUGUAUGAAGAAGGGAGAAUUGCGUAACCCAUUCACGGUGCCUAAAAUAAAAAUCUUUGGGUUCACCCUCCUCAUAAUUUUGAGCACCUUAUACCUUGCACUAUUUAUGGCUUCGGUUUCAUGACCUAUAUUCUUCAUCCGGAACAUGCAAUUGAUUAUGAGAACUUCAUCCUCGUCAAGUUAAGAUCCUCAAUUUUAAUGGUCUUCCAUCUUGAAGCGGCAAUGCCCUGAUACUGAAAAGGUACCUUGAACAUGUUUGCAUAAUCAGCCAAGCGCUUCCCUGUCUCCUCGAUCAUUUUACAAGGGAGGAAACCUGGCUGGGGAACAUCUAUACCUGUGAUCCGGAGCUUAGGGGCUCCCUCUUCUUGCUGUGCAAACUUCUGAAUCAUUAAUGGCCACUGAAAGCCGAAGCUGAUGCCGAAAUCAACAAUGUGCACCCUUGGUUUCCCUUGUGACACAUCAAGAAUAGCUUGGUUGGCAAAGUAGUAUGACGUCCUGUCGAAAGGGCAGGAUGCAAUAAAAAGGCUGUAAGCAUCUAACCAAUAUGUUGUACUUGUUCGCCUCUCCAUGAGGUCGCGAUAAACCUGACCCCCAAUCCCAGCCAAGCGUGCCUCGAGGUCAUCUGCCAAGCAAAAUGCCAGUCUCUGAGUACAAUCACCAUCUACUGGGGAGUGUUGUCUUAUCUUCUUUAGGAUUUCACUGGCCAACAGAUGGUUGUCUUCUGCCACAACUUGUGCGCAAUUGACGAGGAGGGUCUUGAGAUCAACCAACUCUCUCCUCGGUUGCUUCCUCUGCCAUAGCUUCUGACGUCCUUUGCUCUGACCUUUCAAUGGGUUCUUAUUUCCUUCCUCUGCCAUCCCUCUCCGUAGUCUUGUUAUUUUUUUUGAACUCUUCUGACCAUAGCAUAGCAGAACUUGGUCAAAAUUUUCAUUUCGAAUUAUUGCACAAGUGGUGAAGUUAAGAUGUUUAUUGCUCCUUCCCUCCAAGAUAUCCCAAUCCCUUUGGCCUGCCACCUCAAAGAUUGUGUUUUCGCUCCUCUCUCCUAGUUCUACUUUUCCCCUUAUCGUCAGUUUGGAAAUAGAAAGUAUGCCAUUCUCUAAAUGUAUCACCAGCUUAUCAAUACUUGGAGCAAUCAUCGUUGCCUCCUCGACACCUGUCUUACUAUGCAAGGCGGGGAAUCCAAAUCUAGAAGUCGGUCCAACACUUAUGAACGGUCGGUUUUGUAGAGAAAGACUCCUAUUGCAGAUAUAUGGACUCAACGGGGUUGUCAAGGGCUAUAACACACUGUAACUGGAACAGUCAUUACCGAAGCUAGUGCUCCAGAGCCUCUUGUAGCAGCUGGUCCUACUCUUAUCAGGGUUGUCUAUUUGGUUGUUGCUAUGCAAUGACGACCAGCUAGUAACCGGCGGUUGUACCUGCCCAAGAAGGUCAAGGAAUGGCUUCUCAGCAGCCUGGAGAGAAGCCUCCCCUUGGCAUAUGUCGACCCUCUCGUCGAUGUCUUCCAUCAGCAUCUGGCUUAUAUAGUGAAGAGCAUCGUUUGAUCUGAGCCGGUGGCGCUCAGGGCUACCCCCUGCAGCAAUCUGAAAUUGGUUUUGCCCAAGGCUGCUGUUGACAUUGCACAACUCGGGGCUGGUGACUCCACCAUGCUCAUAUGUGCUUGCUUGGUUGGCUAGGGAAAGAACUGUGGAGCGUGGGCCACUCAGGUUGUAGUUGUACAUGGUGAGUUGCUGCUGGGAAGAGGAAGUAUUGUCGUUUGGUUGGUUGGUUGGUUGUUGCGACGUCGUCCAGAUCGUCAAGGAGAGGUUUAACCAUCAUUCUGAUAAAUCCAUUUCUAUUUCCACUUCAAAGUGAUUCUUCUUUGUGCGACAGAAAAUGAAUCAGCUUGUUGCCUGCAAAAACAGAGAUAGAGAGAAAUUGAAGCUUAUUUAUGUGAGAUAAAUUUUGGUUCAGAUUGCUGAUGUGCUACAAUUUGGAAUGAUAGGAAACAAGCAUAACUAUUUUACAUGGUUAAACCUAGAAUGUUUAGCAUCGGCAAUAGAAAAAGGACUCACCUCUGGUACUUGUUAAGGCAAUUCUGAAAUUACGACACGCCUAAUAGCACCGUCCCUUUUUAUUUGUAGGAGGCUCCUCAUCUGGUCUGAGCAAGUAGGUAAAAGCAGGGAAGCAUACACCCUUUUUAUUUGCAGGAGGCUCCUCAUCUGGUCUCAGCAAGUAGGUAAAAGCAGGGAAGCAUACACCUUGGUUGUUAUUAAGAAGCAGCACGAUCAGAUCAGAAGCUUUGGGAAGGAGGGAGGGAGGUGUCCGUGGUAUCGAUGUAAACUAAGUCUUUUGUUCCCAACAGAUAGCCAUGGUGAUUGUGACAGAGGAUGCUCUAGAUUGCAACAAUUAUCAUAUCGGUUAAUCCUAGGCCUGGCUACGCGCCGGACAUGUAAAAAAACGAAUGUCAUAUCUGACCAUCAAUCUAAUUCUAGGGAUAAAACAGAACGCUUCCUAACGUGGCUGAAAGUCAAAUCACAAAUUCUUUCCUGUUAGUCUGCAUGUGUACAUCUCCAAAUGUGCAAAUACGCAAAUUCUUUUCAAUAGUGUCGGCAAAUAUUUUUGCUAUUUCAAAAAUAUAAAAACAAUUAGACCUCAAACCACAAGUUUGAUUCAAAAUCUGCUUUGGUCACUAAAUCGCGAUGAGCUCUUUGAAACUAGAUCAUAUGUUGGUAUGGUCUGACAAUUUGUUUUUCUGGUCAAAAGUUACCAGGUUGCAGUAUGUAUUUACCAACCUUUUUAAGUUACCGAGCAUGAAAACUGAAUGAACGUUUCAAGGAAUUUUUAGGUCGAAAAUUAUCACCCGGUACUACAAGAGUUGGCAUAUUGUUCAUAUCUUCUUACCGGUAACAUUGUGUAGGAUGUUGGGCUGCUCGUGGAUAGUUAUCAACCUCAAAACUAGAUAUCAUCACAAUAACCAAUAAUUACAUUGCUACUAAUCUUACCUUAAAAUAUUUAAAAAUAAAAACUUUUAAGUUUCAAAAAAAUCUUAAAAACGCAUAUACAUAUGGAUGAAAUACUUGACUGCAAGCAAAGUUUCAUGGCGAAGUACCUUUUUGUGUGAGCUACACAAACAAUGAUAAAAUCACGUAUUUCUAACACAUGUCUAUUCAUUAUAAUAGUACAUGAUUUUGUAUUUUACACAGAUUACAUCAAAAAAUAUUUGGUGAUGAAAGUUCACACACAUCCAGUAUACAUCUAUAACUACUUGUGUACUUAUUUUUGAUUUCUUUUAAUAUAAAACUUGAUUUUUGAAGUUAUAAAAAUAUUAGGCUCCAUGGUGCCCGAGAGAAAAAAAAUUCAUUCCAUUCUCAAUGAAAAGGAUAGACACAUCCACCACCGUGAUGAGCAGCAACGAUAGUGUAGAUGUGGAUCCGGGAUGAGGAAUACCCUAUUCAAAGCUUAAGGCGCCGCUUAUAGACCUUUCUAUGCAUGACGUUCGCACCAUCCCUCAAGGAUCCUUAGCAACAGGCUGACCCAUUUAAGAGUAUCUUCAAGAGCUGCGCUACGGCGUGACAUGUAAAAGAAAAAUUACAGCGUCCAAAUAGCCCUUUUGCGCGCCGGACUUUACAGUUGCUUCACCAUGCGUUGAAAUUUUUCAGCGUGCCAAAGCGCCACUUCAGGAGGCGCGGCAAAAUAGAGCACGCGCCCAGCAGAAACAAUAUUUUGCAUUCAAUAUGAAACAAAGAAGAUUAAACAAACACAAAAUAGUUCGUUAAAAAAAUAGUUCAAUUAUUAUUACAACUCAAAUAAAUAAUUAAACUUCAGCAUUGGAAGCUUUCAAAAUAGUUCUUCAUCAAUCUGUUGUGGGCAUCGAUCCUUUCCCUCCACAAUUUUUCAUGACCAAAAGCUAAACCAACAUGUUUCAGCUUUUUGUUGACGUGCAUAGCUAGGUCCAUUGCGAGGUCCUCCUCCUCUUAAAGAUCAAAUUCUUCAUCGAAAGAAUCGUGGGACGAACUCAUCUACAAAUUUGAAUUCAAACUAAAAUCAUGGAACGGUGCGCUCCAUGGGCGGCCGCGGCGAAGAAAGUAGCGGAGGCCACCGGCGAAGAGGGGGAGCGGCGUACGCGGUGGGAAACGGUUGGGGAAGCGUCGACGGGUCGUCGGAGAGGAUGGGAAAGUCGCGUGCGCGAGUAGAAAUUUCAGAUCUGGCGGUUGAUGGACAUUGACGCAGGCGAGUCGUUGUUCAGCGUGUGGUAGCGGACGCUGGAAAAAAACAGCGCGUGAUGCAGUUCUAUUCGAUGUGCGGAGUGGUUUUUAGCACGCACAAUUUUUACGCGUCUCCCGGAGCUGCUGAUUCGAUUGCGCGACCUAAAAACCCAUUUUUUUCAUGUGCACGGCUUAUUUAGCCUCUUUGUUGAAAAUGCUCUAAGAACCUUUGAUAUGGAAAGCCUUCAUAAACCUUGUGGACGGCUCUCGGAAGUUCCUAUAAGCUUUUAGCCUGCUUUUUUCUGUUAGUUUUUUUUCUUUUUCAUUUCAUUUUUUAAAAUUUCUUGGAAGUUUUUCAAAUCCAUGAACUUUGUGAAAAUUAGUGAACAUUUAAAAAAAUCAUUUAUUUAAAAUAGCAAAUAUUUUCCCAAAAUCAUGAAUCUUCUUCAAAUGCAAAGUCUUGGACUUUUUAAAAUCCGUGAACACUUUCCUAAUUCACAUUUUUUUCUAAGUCUCUGACAAUUUUUUGAAUUUGUGAACAAGUUUCAAAUUCAUAAACAUGUUUGAAAAUCCAUGAUUAAUUUUCAAAUAUUAAACAUUUAUUUAGUUCCCAAUCUUUGAAAACCACAAAAACAGACGAUUUUUCCUGAGCUAGUAGCCAAGCAGAACCGAGCAAAACACAACAAACCAGCCAAUCAAUCUAGCAAGCAUGCGAGCCAGGAGUUGAGCUAGCGAUCGACAAGAGCUUCAUAGACCCAAGCCCAAUGACCGUUCAUGUCAGUGUUACAUCGAUUCCGGACGCCUUAAGCGCUAAAGAGGACUCACUACCUUCUAGGAAAUUUGAUAUGCGAGGCGUCGAGCCAUUCAUGAGAAGGAAUUUCAAAGCCCAAUACCUACUCAUGUAUUCAUCUGUCGUUAUUCAAAAAAGAUCGAACUCAAUACCCUAUGGGGCAAUGAAGGCGUGUGAUGUUCGAGACAUGGAGCGGUGUAUCCCUCCUUUAACACGUUUUUUCAAGAUCAAUGUUGAUGGUGUGAUUGCUAAAGCAACCAACACGUGUGUAGCCAGGUCGAUGGUGGACUUUGAUGCAGCGAAUCAUUGACACUCUACUAAGAUCUACACCAAGAGAAGUUCUAAAUUUCAUCUAACUUUCUGAGUGUCAUUAGAAAGUUGCAUAUUGCAAAUAAUUCUGAUGUCCAUUGCAUUUUCAUGAAAUUGUGAUGUCCAUUGCAUUAUCAUGAAAGCGAUCAAAAUCCAAAAAAAAUCGUCAUGUGUAUUUUGCCAUGAACGACACACUUGUACUAAGGAGGGUGGUAAUUUGCCUAGGAUCGCGACUGCCUAAAUGUUGGCCACCAUGUGUGGUUCUUCCCCUUAUGCUAAUCUGUAUAUCCCCUUGAACUAGAUUACAUGAAAUCAUAUAUCUUAUAUAUCUAAGAAGUUCAUCUCCGCUAUCUUAUUUAUCUUAAAAAUGAAACCUACCCACCUCAUCACACAUGUCUCACACAUGCCAUCUCCCAUCUCAAUGAACAUGCAAACUAUCCACAUCAUCAAGCAUAUGCAGUCAAUUAACUUUUCACUUUGCACCACAUGCAUGUCGUCCACAUCAUCAAGCCCCUAUGCAACCUUUUAACUUUUUACUUUUUACCACAUGCAAGCUCUCAACACCAUAAAAGAACAUAAAAGUCCUCCACAUCAUUGAUUUUGUUUUCAUUUUUCAAUAAUAAAUAAUCAAACCUGAAUAGCACAAGACAAUAUAACAUGCAUCCACCUUCCAUUUUAUCUCUAGGUUGAAUGUGGUGCAGUACUAUUCACGUAUAUUUUACUCCCUCCAUUUCAUAAUAUAAGAAAAUUUUGCAAAGUGACAUCCCAUAAUGUAAGACGUUUUUACAAACUAUGUUAACUUACAAAAACAUCUUACAUUAUGGGACGAAGGGAGUAAUGUCAUUUUGAUAAAUUCAUCGUGAAAGAGGUGUUGUUCAUCUUCUCUCCCUAAUAAUAAAGCAAGGACGGUUUUUGUCGUCCGUCGUGGCUCUUUUGCAGAAAGGUCCCUGUAUUUUUCUCUAAUUAACCCGCAGUUCAUUUAUAAGUGAGGCCGAACCUUUUUUCGCAUUUUACACAAGACCCCCUUACUUUCGUGCUAAAUAACCCGCGGUCCAAAUUAUAGUCAGAGUGAAUCGUUUUUAAUUUUUUUUUACGUUAAACCCCUCACAUAUGCGUUAAUAACCUCGAAGUCCAUUCAGAAUAAAUAUGUAUUUUUAAAUAGCAAUAUCUUUUAAACCGUAAAUCCAAUUUAAACAUGUUAUAUAUGAAACUUGAUUAGAAAAAUGUGUAGAGUUUGAAUAUGUUGUUAUUUUACAUGUUAUAUAUAUGUCUAAAAAUACUAUAUAGGAUACAAUACUAAUCAAUAUUUGUCUUUAUUUCGUAUCGACUAUUUGUAUUGUAACAUGUUAACUUAAGCAUCAAUAUUUGAGAAAUGUUAUAAUCUUUUGACAUGAUGUACUUGCACCGGGUUCUUUCUUGUACAUAUUUUAUAAUCGACCUUACGUACGUGUCGUUUUUUUUAACAGUAUCCAUACACGUUUUUAUCAAUGGACUACACUUUUUCAUUGGUUUUUUUUUUCCGUUUGCAACGCACGGGCAUUUGUGCUAGUAAAAGAAAAACAUUAAAGAGGAGCACCCUGGGAUGAGCCUAGGGGACACGUUGUCCACACCCGUCUACAACCACACAACGAGUAGAUCCCUGCCAGCCCAAACAGUCCAGGAGACCUCCUAUUUGGCGUGUUCAGCGCCGGUUAAGCCACUUGCCGCUCGCAUGCCUCUCCCGCAUGGUCUGGCCCAACAAACCGAGUGUCCACUUCGUUCACUCAGUUGAUAGGUCAGUAUACGCUAAAAAAAGUUGAUAGGUCAGUAUACGUUAAAAAAAGUUGAUCGAUCACACUAUACCUAGUUGUCUGUGACUAGCUACCAAUAAACAUUGACCAAAGAUGAUUUACUUUUAAAAUAAGGGGAACACAUUUUAAAAAUAAUUUAAAAAGUUCAUGAAUUUUGGGAAAAAGGUUCACACAUUUGAAAAAAGUUCAGGACUUCGAAAGUUCAUAAUGUAGAAAAGGUUUGCACAAAUGUAAAAAUGUUCACAAAAAGAUUUUGCAAAACUUCAUAAUUUUAAAAAGUUCACGGAAUUUGAAAAUUUUAACGAAUUUGAGAAAAGGUUAUCAAAAUUGAUUUUUUAAAAGUUUACAAAAGAAUGAAAGAAAGUUUGUGAGUUUUUUUAAAAUCAGGAAAUAGAUAAAAUGAACAAUGGAAAAUAAAAAAGAGAAAUAAAUCGAAAAAAGGAAAAGUAAAAAGUAAACGGAAAAUGAGAAUCCUGUGGAAAAAAACUACACAGGCCAGCCUAUUUAGGUACCAGUGUGGUGGUUUGUGCAGCGGGCCGGAAAUAGGACUCCGUACAGUCCAGAGCCCACUUUCUCGCAGCACACGUUUCAGGCCCACAGAAGAGGCGCAAGCCGACGAACCAACCAAUCGAGUCCGUCACUCGCCGUGCCGUCUCGUCUCUCGUGUCGUGUGGUCUCGCUCGCCGUCCCAUCUCGAUUCCNNNNNNNNNNNNNNNNNNNNNNNNNNNNNNNNNNNNNNNNNNNNNNNNNNNNNNNNNNNNNNNNNNNNNNNNNNNNNNNNNNNNNNNNNNNNNNNNNNNNNNNNNNNNNNNNNNNNNNNNNNNNNNNNNNNNNNNNNNNNNNNNNNNNNNNNNNNNNNNNNNNNNNNNNNNNNNNNNNNNNNNNNNNNNNNNNNNNNNNNNNNNNNNNNNNNNNNNNNNNNNNNNNNNNNNNNNNNNNNNNNNNNNNNNNNNNNNNNNNNNNNNNNNNNNNNNNNNNNNNNNNNNNNNNNNNNNNNNNNNNNNNNNNNNNNNNNNNNNNNNNNNNNNNNNNNNNNNNNNNNNNNNNNNNNNNNNNNNNNNNNNNNNNNNNNNNNNNNNNNNNNNNNNNNNNNNNNNNNNNNNNNNNNNNNNNNNNNNNNNNNNNNNNNNNNNNNNNNNNNNNNNNNNNNNNNNNNNNNNNNNNNNNNNNNNNNNNNNNNNNNNNNNNNNNNNNNNNNNNNNNNNNNNNNNNNNNNNNNNNNNNNNNNNNNNNNNNNNNNNNNNNNNNNNNNNNNNNNNNNNNNNNNNNNNNNNNNNNNNNNNNNNNNNNNNNNNNNNNNNNNNNNNNNNNNNNNNNNNNNNNNNNNNNNNNNNNNNNNNNNNNNNNNNNNNNNNNNNNNNNNNNNNNNNNNNNNNNNNNNNNNNNNNNNNNNNNNNNNNNNNNNNNNNNNNNNNNNNNNNNNNNNNNNNNNNNNNNNNNNNNNNNNNNNNNNNNNNNNNNNNNNNNNNNNNNNNNNNNNNNNNNNNNNNNNNNNNNNNNNNNNNNNNNNNNNNNNNNNNNNNNNNNNNNNNNNNNNNNNNNNNNNNNNNNNNNNNNNNNNNNNNNNNNNNNNNNNNNNNNNNNNNNNNNNNNNNNNNNNNNNNNNNNNNNNNNNNNNNNNNNNNNNNNNNNNNNNNNNNNNNNNNNNNNNNNNNNNNNNNNNNNNNNNNNNNNNNNNNNNNNNNNNNNNNNNNNNNNNNNNNNNNNNNNNNNNNNNNNNNNNNNNNNNNNNNNNNNNNNNNNNNNNNNNNNNNNNNNNNNNNNNNNNNNNNNNNNNNNNNNNNNNNNNNNNNNNNNNNNNNNNNNNNNNNNNNNNNNNNNNNNNNNNNNNNNNNNNNNNNNNNNNNNNNNNNNNNNNNNNNNNNNNNNNNNNNNNNNNNNNNNNNNNNNNNNNNNNNNNNNNNNNNNNNNNNNNNNNNNNNNNNNNNNNNNNNNNNNNNNNNNNNNNNNNNNNNNNNNNNNNNNNNNNNNNNNNNNNNNNNNNNNNNNNNNNNNNNNNNNNNNNNNNNNNNNNNNNNNNNNNNNNNNNNNNNNNNNNNNNNNNNNNNNNNNNNNNNNNNNNNNNNNNNNNNNNNNNNNNNNNNNNNNNNNNNNNNNNNNNNNNNNNNNNNNNNNNNNNNNNNNNNNNNNNNNGCUUCUGUGGUACGUCAUUAAAUUUACCCUUAAAGUUUAUCAAAAUUACUCAUCAAUGCCAUCCGUAAGUGACAAAAUGAUUUGUUUUUUAAACUUCGAUUCGGCUCUUUCUUUUUAAUUCUAAAGGAUGCGUUUCCGUAUAUUAUCACUAGCAUAAGGCUAGCCCAACAGGUUGGGUUCGUGCUGUCUCACCCCAGGAGACCUAGGUUCGAUCCCGAUAGCGUCCUACAAACCUUUUUUCCUUUUAUUUUGCACUUUUUCUACUUUUUUUUUCUAUUUUGCCUUUAUUUUGAUAAACUUUGCACAAAUGUUAAUUAUGGAUUAAAGAAACGUUAAAUUUCCAGACAAAAAACGUUCCCAUAUAUUAAAAAAACUUGUAGUAUGGACAAUAAAUAAUAUAUUUUCUUUUAUUUUAAAAAAUAUUGAUCAUGUAUUUAAAAAACUUUAAAUAUGCAUAGAAAAAUGUUUCCGGUGUAUAAGAAAACAUAUACAAAAGUAUAUAAUGUGUAUGGAACAAAGUAGACAUAAAAAAUAGAACUUUUCAAAAAUGUUAAUCGUGCAUUUGAAUAAUGUAAAACAUGUAUAUAAAAAAUGUUCAUGAUGCAUACAAAAUAUGUAAAAUGUUUAUUAAAAAAUUAGACAUCAAAACUCAAUAAUGUUUCUAUGUCACACGCAAAAAAAACUGUUUCUAAUGUAUAAAAAACUAUACAAUGUUGUUUAUACAAGCUUUACGUAAACAAAUGGCUUAGCUUUGAUUUUUCAUAUAUAUAAACUGUUUUGCUAAUUACUUUUUUAAGAAUAUCGAUAUUGAUAUGCAACCUGGAACAUUUGGUAUGCAUGUAGUUACAAAUUGAUUGUUUUUGAUAAAGUUGUCUAAUAUGUUUGCAACCAAAUUAAGACUUCACUUAGAUUACAACUGCAAACACAUAUAUCAACAAGAUAAAAAUAAUGUUUUUAUGAAUAUGCUAUCAUUAAUUAACAAAACAUAUUUUUGCCAUUUUCAUCAUAAUUCAAAUAAUGUUCAUGCAUUUCAAGAAAUUUCUUGAUAUUUUGAGAACAUAAUGUGAUUAUCACAAUUGAAGAUUAUGUAGUUUUUUUUCUUCCCGUUGCAACGCACGGGCUAUUAUAUAUAUAUAUAUAUAUAUAUCUUAUCUCUUACCUACUAAUAAAACAAAUAGUGCUUCUUCCGUACGUCAUCCAAAUUGUCCUUAAAGUUGACUAAAAUUACCCACCAAUGCCACCUAUAAGUCAUAAAAAACGUUUCGAAUAGGAAAAAUCUUCGGACUAGGCCGACCCAUGUAGACACAUCCUAUAUUACGCUCUGGGCAUUGAAAAAAAGAUGCAGCACACCUGUUUGGGCCGGCUCAUGUGUGGGCGCCUGUUUUUUUAGUUUAGAUUUUUUAUUUUUAUUUCCAGUUCCAUUUUGUUUGCUACUUUAAAUAAUUUUGAACUUCAAACAACUUUUUUCAAUUUCAAGAAACUGAGAAUUUCGAAAUAAAAUAUUCAAAAAUACAUUUUUUUGANNNNNNNNNNNNNNNNNNNNNNNNNNNNNNNNNNNNNNNNNNNNNNNNNNNNNNNNNNNNNNNNNNNNNNNNNNNNNNNNNNNNNNNNNNNNNNNNNNNNACAAGACAAAUACAUGGAUGAAUGGAAUGGCUGCAUCCAUGCAAAGGAAAGACAAGGGAAGCAUCACAUGAAAUAACACAUGUAUUGAACUCUCAAAUCAAUGACAAGGUGGACCCACAUACAGGAGGUUCCAAAUAUGGUAAGGUACACUCUUGGGGCAUUACAAACUCUCCUACACUACAAAAAGAUCUCGCCCCGAGAUCUAAGACUGAAAGAACUCCGGAAAUUCAGAACGGAGGUGAUCCUCGCGUUCCCAAGUAGCCUCUUUAUCGGAAUGGUGUGACCACUCCACUUUGAGAUAUUUGACACUCUUGUUGCGGGUCUUGCGCUCAGUCGCCUCGAGAACCGCAAUUGGAUGCUCACGAUAGGAUAGGUCGGGUUGAAGGUCGAUGUCUUGAAGAUGAACAGUGCGCUCGGGAGUCUUGAAGCAUCUCCGGAGCUGAGAGACAUGGAACACGUCAUGCACAUUUGCAAAGUUGGACGGGAGCUCGAGCUAGUAUGCAAGGUCGCCUCUCUUGCCAACAACUCUGAAAGGACCAACGAAACGAGGCGCAAGCUUGCCUUUAAUGCCAAANNNNNNNNNNNNNNNNNNNNNNNNNNNNNNNNNNNNNNNNNNNNNNNNNNNNNNNNNNNNNNNNNNNNNNNNNNNNNNNNNNNNNNNNNNNNNNNNNNNNCACCCACCAAACCAAGUCCAACUCGGUUUGGGGGGGAGCCUUCCCCCUUGGACUCGACCGACCCCCUUGGGGCUCCUUGAGCCCCAAGGCAAGGUCCCCUCCCUCCCACCUAUAUAUACGGAGGUUUUAGGGCUGAUUUGAGACGACUUUUCCACGGCAGCCCGACCACAUAUCUCCACGGUUUUUCCUCUAGAUCGCGUUUCUACGAAGCUCGGGCGGAGCCCUGCUGAGACAAGGACAUCACCAACCUCCGGAGCGCCGUCACGCUACCGGAGAACUCUUCUACCUCUCCGUCUCUCUUGCUGGAUCAAGAAGGCCGAGAUCAUCGUCGAGCUGUACGUGUGCUGAACGCGGAGGUGCCGUCCGUUCGGUACUUGAUCGUGGGACUGAUCGCGGGAUUGUUCGCGGGGCGGAUCGAGGGACGUGAGGACGUUCCACUACAUCAACCGCGUUCACUAACGCUUCUGUUGUACGAUCUACAAGGGUACAUAGAUCACUCAUCCCCUCUCGUAGAUGGACAUCACCAUGAUAGGUCUUCAUGCGCGUAGGAAAUUUUUUGUUUCCCAUGCGACGUUCCCCAACAGUGGCAUCAUGAGCUAGAUUCACGCGUAGAUGUCUUCUCGAGUAGAACACAAAAGUUUUUGUGGGCGGUGAUGUGCGUUUUGCUGCCCUCCUUAGUCUUUUCUUGAUUCCGCGGUAUUGUUGGAUUGAAGCGGCUUGGACCGACAUUACACGUAUGCUUACGAGAGACUGGUUUCAUCGCUACGAGUAACCCCGUUGCUCAAAGAUGACUGGCAAGUGUCGGUUUCUCCAACUUUAGUUGAAUCGGAUUUGACCGAGGAGGUCCUUGGAUGAGGUUAAAUAGCAACUCAUAUAUCUCCGUUGUGGUGUUUGCGUAAGUAAGAUGCGAUCCUACUAGAUACCCAUGGUCACCACGUAAAACAUGCUACAACAAAAUUAGAGGACGUCUAACUUGUUUUUGCAGGGUAUGCUUGUGAUGUGAUAUGGCCAACGAUGUGAUGUGAUAUAUUGUAUGUAUGAGAUGUCAUGUUGUAAUAGUAAAUAUCGACUUGCACGUCGAUGGUACGGCAACCGGCAGGAGCCAUAGGGUUUUCUUUAUACUAACGUUUGUGCUUGCAGAUGCGUUUACUAUUUUGCUAGGAUGUAGCUUUAGUAGUAAUAGCAUGAGUAGCACGACAACCCCGAUGGCAACACGUUGAUGGAGAUCAUGGUGUGGCGCCGGUGAGAAGAAGAUCGUGCCGGUGCUUUGGUGAUGGAGAUCAAGAAGCACGUGAUGAUGGCCAUAUCAUGUCACUUAUGAAUUGCAUGUGAUGUUAAUCCUUUUAUGCACCUUAUUUUGCUUAGAACGACGGUAGCAUUAUGAGGUGAUCUCUCACUAAAAUAUCAAGACUAAAUUGUGUUCUCCCCGACUGUGCACCGUUGCUACAGUUCGUCGAUUCGAGACACCACGUGAUGAUCGGGUGUGAUAGACUCAACGUUCACAUACAACGGGUGCAAAACAGUUGCGCAAGCGGAACACUCGGGUUAAGCUUGACGAGCCUAGAAUGUGCAGACAUGGCCUCGGAACACAUGAGACCGAAAGGUCGAUCAUGAAUCAUAUAGAUGAUAUGAUUAGCAUAGGGAUGCUUACCACUGAAACUAUACUCAACUCACGUGAUGAUCAGACUUGAGCUAGUAUAAGUGGAUCAUGAACAACUCAAAUGACUAGAGAGAUGUACUUUUUGAGUGGGAGUUUAGCGAAUAAUUUGAUUAAGUUAAACUCUAAUUAUCUUGAACAUAGUCUAAAGCCCACUUUGAAUAUAUUUGUGUUGUAGAUCAUGGCUCACGCUACAGUCAUCCUGAAUUUUAAUACGUUUCUAGAGAAAGCUAAGUUGAAAGAUGAUGGGAGCAACUUUGUAGACUGGGCUCGGAACCUUAAGCUAAUCUUACAAGCUGGGAAGAAGGAUUAUGUCCUUAAUGCUGCGCUAGGAGAUGAACCACCCGCUACGGCUGAUCAGGAUGUUAAGAACGCUUGGUUAGCACGUAAGGAGGACUACUCAAUAGUUCAAUGUGCAGUCUUGUAUGGCUUAGAACCGGGACUUCAACGUCGCUUUGAGCGUCAUGGAGCAUUUGAGAUGUUCCAGGAGUUGAAGUUUAUCUUUCAGAAGAACGCCCGGAUUGAGAGGUAUGAGACCUCCGAUAAAUUCUAUGCUUGCAAGAUGGAGGAAAACUCGUCUGUCAGUGAACAUGUGCUCAAAAUGUCUGGGUACUCAAACCGUCUAGCUGAGCUGGGGAUUGAACUCCCGCAAGAGGCUAUCACUAACAGAAUCCUUCAAUCACUGCCGCCAAGCUAUAAAGGCUUUGUGUUGAACUACAACAUGCAAGGGAUGAACAAGUCUCCCGGCGAGUUGUUUGCGAUGCUGAAAGUCGCAGAGUCUGAACUCCGUAAAGAGCAUCAAGUGUUGAUGGUGAAUAAGACCACUAGUUUCAAGAGAAACGGCAAAGGCAAGAAGGGUAAUUCGAAGAAGAGCGGCAAGCCUGUUGCCAAUCCGACGAAGAAACCCAAAACUGGACCUAAGCCUGAAACGGAGUGUUACUAUUGCAAGGGUAUGGGUCACUGGAAGCGCAAUUGCCCCAAGUAUCUGGCAGAUAAGAAGGCGGCCAAAGAAAAAUCAGGUAUAUUUGAUAUACAUGUUAUUGAUGUGUACUUAACCGGCUCUCGUAGUAGUGCCUGGGUAUUCGAUACCGGUUCUGUUGCUCAUAUUUGCAACUCGAAACAGGAACUGCGGAAUAGACGAAGGCUGGCGAAAGAUGAAGUGACGAUGCGCGUAGGAAAUGGUUCCAAGGUUGAUGCAAUCGCCGUCGGCACAGUUUCACUUCAGUUACCAUCAGGAUUAGUGAUGAACUUAAAUCAUUUUUAUUUAGUGCCUGCGUUGAGCAUGAACAUUAUAUCUGGAUCUUGUUUAUUGCGAGACGGUUACUCUUUUAAGUCAGAGAAUAAUGGUUGUUCUAUUUCUAUGAGUAACAUCUUUUAUGGUCAUGCACCUAAUGUGAGAGGAUUGUUCAUAUUGAAUCUUGAUAGCGAUACGCAUAUACAUAACACUGAGACCAAAAGAGUUAGAGUUAACAAUGGUAGCGCCAUAUUUUUGUGGCACUACCGCUUAGGUCAUAUUGGUGUAAAACGCAUGAAGAAACUCCAUGCUGAUGGACUUUUGGAGUCACUUGACUUUGAUUCACUUGACACGUGCGAACCAUGCCUCAUGGGCAAGAUGACUAAGACUCCGUUCUCCGGAACAAUGGAGCGUGCAAGUGACUUGUUGGAAAUCAUACAUACCGAUGUGUGUGGUCCGAUGAGUGUGGAGGCACGUGGCGGAUAUCGUUAUUUUCUCACCUUCACUGACGAUUUGAGUAGAUAUGGUUAUGUCUACUUGAUGAAGCACAAGUCUGAAACAUUUGAAAAGUUCAAGCAAUUUCAGAGUGAAGUGGAAAAUCAUCGUAACAAGAAGAUCAAGUUCCUACGGUCUGAUCGUGGGGGUGAAUAUCUGAGUUUCGAGUUUGGUACUCACUUAAGACAAUGUGGAAUUGUUUCACAGUUAACACCGCCUGGAACACCACAGCGUAAUGGUGUGUCCGAACGUCGUAAUCGUACUCUAUUAGAGAUGGUGCGAUCUAUGAUGUCUCUUACUGAUUUGCCGUUAUCGUUUUGGGGUUAUGCAUUAGAAACAGCUGCAUUCACUUUAAAUAGGGCACCAUCAAAAUCCGUUGAGACGACACCAUACGAACUGUGGUAUGGCAAAAGGCCAAAGUUGUCGUUUCUUAAAGUUUGGGGAUGUGAUGCUUAUGUCAAAAAGCUUCAGCCUGAAAAGCUGGAACCCAAAGCGGAAAAGUGCGUCUUCAUAGGUUACCCAAAAGAGACAAUUGGGUACACCUUCUAUCUCAAAUCCGAGGGCAAAGUGUUUGUUGCUAAAAACGGAGCUUUUCUCGAGAAGGAGUUUCUCUCGAGAGAAUUGAGUGGGAGGAAGAUAGAACUUGACGAGGUUGUCGAACCUCUCAUCCCUCUGGAUGGUGGCGCAGGGCAAGGGGAAACCUCUAUCGUUGCGACACCAGUUGAGGAGGAAGUUAAUGAUGAUGAUCAUGAAACUCCAGUUCAAGUUUUUGUUGAACCACGCAGGUCGACGAGACCACGUGCUGCUCCAGAGUGGUACAGUAAUCCCGUCUUAUCAAUCAUGUUGUUAGACAACAAUGAACCUGCAAAUUAUGAAGAAGCAAUGGUGGGCCCAAAUUCCAACAAAUGGCUAGAAGCCAUGAAGUCCGAGAUAGGAUCCAUGUAUGAGAACAAAGUGUGGACUUUGGAGGUACUACCUGAGGGCCGCAAGGCUAUUCAGAACAAAUGGAUCUUUAAGAGGAAGACGGACGCUGAUGGCAAUGUGACCGUUUAUAAAGCUCGACUUGUGGCAAAGGGUUUUUCACAAGUUCAAGGAGUUGACUACGAUGAGACAUUCUCACCCGUAGCGAUGCUUAAGUCCGUCAGAAUCAUGUUAGCAAUAGCUGCAUUUUUCGAUUAUGAAAUCUGGCAGAUGGAUGUCAAAACGGCGUUCCUUAACGGUUUCCUUAAGGAAGAGUUGUAUAUGAUACAACCCGAAGGUUUUUUCGAUCCUAAGAAUGCUAACAAGGUGUGCAAGCUCCAGCGAUCCAUUGAUGGACUGGAGCAAGCAUCUCGGAGUUGGAACAAACGCUUUGAUGAGGUGAUCAAAGCAUUUGGGUUUAUACAAGUGGUUGGAGAAUCUUGUAUUUACAAGAAAGUGAGUGGGAGCUCUGUGGCGUUUCUAAUAUUAUAUGUGGAUGACAUAUUGCUGAUUGGAAACAACGUGGAGUUUUUAGAGAGCAUAAAGGAUUACUUGAAUAAGAGUUUCUCUAUGAAGGACCUAGGAGAAGCUGCUUGCAUUCUAGGCAUUAAGAUCUAUAGGGAUAGAUCAAAACGCCUGAUAGGACUUUCACAAAGCACAUACCUUGAUAAAGUUUUGAAGAAAUUCAAAAUGGAACAGUCCAAGAAAGGGUUCUUGCCAAUUUUACAAGGUACGAGAUUGAGUAAGACUCAGUGCCCAGCAACUGAUGAAGAUAGAGAGCAUAUGCGCUCCAUCCCCUAUGCUUCAGCCAUAGGUUCUAUCAUGUAUGCAAUGUUGUGCACUAGACCGGAUGUUAGCCUGGCCAUAAGUAUGGCAGGUAGGUUCCAGAGUAAUCCACGAGUGGAUCACUGGACAGCGGUCAAGAAUAUCCUAAAGUACCUGAAAAGGACUAAGGAGAUGUUUCUCGUGUAUGGAGGUGACGAAGAGCUCGCCGUAAAAGGUUACGUCGAUGCAAGCUUUGACACAGAUCCGGACGACUCUAAGUCGCAAACCGGAUACGUAUUUAUUCUUAAUGGGGGUGCGGUAAGAUGGUGCAGUUCCAAGCAAAGCGUCGUAGCAGAUUCUACAUGUGAAGCGGAGUACAUGGCUGCCUCGGAGGCGGCUAAGGAGGGUGUUUGGAUGAAGCAGUUCAUGACGGAUCUUGGAGUGGUGCCAAGCGCACUGAAUCCAAUAACCUUGUUCUGUGACAACACGGGUGCCAUUGCCUUAGCAAAGGAACCACGGUUUCACAAGAAGACCAGACACAUCAAACGAUGCUUCAACCUCAUCCGCGACUACGUCGAGGGAGAAGACGUAAAUAUAUGCAAAGUGCACACGGAUCUGAAUGUAGCAGACCCGCUGACUAAACCUCUUCGACGGCCAAAGCAUGAUCAACACCAGAACUGUAUGGGUGUUAGAUUUAUUACAAUGUAAUUCACAUGAUGAUGUGAGGGCUAGAUUAUUGACUCUAGUGCAAGUGGGAGACUGUUGGAAUUAUGCCCUAGAGGCAAUAAUAAAUAUAGUUAUUAUUAUAAUUCUUGUAUCAAGAUAAUCGUUUAUUAUCCAUGCUAUAAUUGUAUUGAAUGAAGACUCAUUUACAUGUGUGGAUACAUAGACAAAACACCGUCCCUAGCAAGCCUCUAGUUGGCUAGCCAGUUGAUCAAAGAUAGUCAGUGUCUUAUGAUUAUGAACAAGGUGUUGUUUCUUGAUAACUGGAUCACGUCAUUAGGAGAAUCACGUGAUGGACUAGACCCAAACUAAUAGACGUAGCAUGUUGAUCGUGUCAUUUUGUUGCUACUGUUUUCUGCGUGUCAAGUAUUUAUUCCUAUGACCAUGAGAUCAUAUAACUCACUGACACCGGAGGAAUGCUUUGUGUGUAUCAAACGUCGCAACGUAACUGGGUGACUAUAAAGAUGCUCUACAGGUAUCUCCGAAGGUGUUAGUUGAGUUAGUAUGGAUCAAGACUGGGAUUUGUCACUCCGUGUGACGGAGAGGUGUCUCGGGGCCCACUCGGUAAUACAACAUCACACACAAGCCUUGCAAGAAAUGUGACUUAGUGAAAGUUGCGGGAUCUUGUAUUACGGGACGAGCAAAGAGACUUGCCGGUGAACGAGAUUGAAAUAGGUACGCGGAUACCGACGAUCGAAUCUCGGGCAAGUAACAUACCGAAGGACAAAGGGAAUGACAUACGGGAAUUUAUGAAUCCUUGGCACUGAGGUUCAAACGAUAAGAUCUUCGUAGAAUAUGUAGGAUCCAAUAUGGGCAUCCAGGUCCCGCUAUUGGAUAUUGACCGAGGAGUCUCUCGAGUCAUGUCUACAUAGUUCUCGAACCCGCAGGGUCUGCACACUUAAGGUUCGACGUUGUUUUGUGCGUAUUUGAGUUAUAUGGUUGGUUACCGAAUGUUGUUUGGAGUCCCGGAUGAGAUCACGGACGUCACGAGGGUUUCCGGAAUGGUCCAGAAACGAAGAUUGAUAUAUAGGAUGACCUCAUUUGAUUACCGGAAGGUUUCCGGAGUUACCGGGAAUGUACCGGGAAUGACGAAUGGGUUCCGGGAGUUCACCGUGGGGGCAACCCACCCCGGGGAAGCCCAUAGGCCUUGAGGGUGGCACACCAGCUCUUAGUGGGCUGGUGGGACAGCCCAAAAGGGCCCUAUGCGCCUAGGAAAGAAAAUCAAAGAGAAAAGGGAAAAAAGAGGAGGUAGGAAGGGAAGGAAGGACUCCCAGCCACCAAACCAAGUCCAACUCGGUUUGGGGGGGGGUAGCCUUCCCCCUUGGACUCGGCCGACCCCCUUGGGGCUCCUUGAGUCCCAAGGCAAGGUCCCCUCCCUCCCACCUAUAUAUACGGAGGUUUUAGGGCUGAUUUGAGACGACUUUUUCACGGCAGCCCGACCACAUAUCUCCAUGGUUUUUCCUCUAGAUCGCGUUUCUGCGGAGCUCGGGCGGAGCCCUGCUGAGACAAGGUCAUCACCAACCUCCGGAGCGCCGUCACGCUACCGGAGAACUCUUCUACCUCUCCGUCUCUCUUGCUGGAUCAAGAAGGCCGAGAUCAUCGUCGAGUUGUACGUGUGCUGAACGCGGAGGUGCCGUCCGUUCGGUACUAGAUCGUGGGACUGAUCGCGGGAUUGUUCGCGGGGCGGAUCGAGGGACGUGAGGACGUUCCACUACAUCAACCGCGUUCACUAACGCUUCUGCUGUACGAUCUACAAGGGUACGUAGAUCACUCAUCCCCUCUCGUAGAUGGACAUCACCAUGAUAGGUCUUCGUGCGCGUAGGAAAUUUUUUGUUUCCCAUGCGACGUUCCCCAACACGCGGUGCAUAUGAGAUGUUCCAAGAGCUGAAGCAAGUUUUUCAGGCUCAUGCCCGUGUCGAGAGAUAUGAAGUAUCCGACAAGUUCUUUAGCUGUAAGAUGAAGGAGAACAGUUCUGUCAGCGAGCACAUACUGAAAAUGUCUGGGUUACACGGUUGUCUGACUUCACUUGGAGUCAAACUUCCGGAUGAUGCUAUAAUUGACAGAAUCCUCCAGUCUCUCCCACCAAGCUACAAAGGCUUUGUGCUUAACUACAACAUGCAAGGGAUGGACAAGACCAUUCCCGAGUUGUACUCGAUGCUCAAGUCUGCAGAAGUAGAAAUCAAGAAAGAACAUCAAGUGUUGAUGGUCAACAAGACCACUAGUUUCAAGAAGGGCAAGGGUAAGAAGAACUUCAGGAAAGAUGGCAAAGCCGUUGCCGCGCCCGGUAAGCCAGAUGUCGGGAAGAAGAAAAAGAAUGGACCCAAGCCUGAGACUGAGUGCUUCUAUUGCAAGGGAAAGGGUCAGUGGAAGCGGAACUGCCCCAAAUACUUAGCGGACAAGAAGGCCGGCAACGUUAAAGGUAUAUGUGAUAUACAUGUUAUUGAUGUGUACCUUACCAACGCUCGUAGUAGCUCCUGGGUAUUUGAUACUGGUGUUGUUGCUCACAUUUGCAACUUCACAGUCGGAAUUGUGCAAGUGUUUGGUCAGGAGUAUUUGAGAUCUCCCAAUGCUGAAGACGCCACAAGGCUAUUUGAGAUGAACAAAGCUCGUGGCUUCCCACGUAUGCUUGGCUCAAUAGAUUGCAUGCAUCGGAGUUUGAAGAAUUGUCCUAAGGCAUGGCAUGGGCAAUUCAACGGCCAAAAAAAGGGUUCCACUAUAAUCCUUGAAGCGGUGGCCGAUCAAGAGGCUUGGAUUUGGCAUGCUUUUUUUUUUGAAAUGCCUGGAUCUUUGAAUGACAUCAACGUUGUCAACCGGUCAACACUGAUGAAUAAGAUUGCAAAUGGUGAACUGUCACGAGUGCAGUUUGUAGCAAAUGGUCGUACAUACAACUAUGACUAUUAUUGUGAGAGGACCGGCUAGAUUUUGAGAUCAAAAGAUGCUUUGGUACAUCAUGCACGCUUGUGUGAUCAUGCACAAUAUGAUCAUCGAGAAUGAUCGUGGCCAAGAUUUAGAUUACUCUCACUAUGAGCUCUUGGGACAUCCCAUGCGAGUGCGGCGGAGGGCUGAAAGGGUAGCCCAUUUUGUUGCCUCUUAUCAUGUCAUUCGACGUCCCGAAACGCAUAAUGAUCUUCAGAAGAAUCUCCUCAAGGAGUGGUGGGCAUGAAUGGCCGACAAAGAGCAUCAUGAUUUGUGCGUUUGAUGUUGUAUUAUUGAACUACUUGUUGUAUUGAAAGAUAAAGUACUUAUUUGAGUUGUAAUAACGAAAUUAAACUAUUUUUAUUGAUUUAUUUUGUUUAUGUUUGAUCUUUUUCUUGUGGUUUUUAACGCAUAUGUUGUUUGAACGAUAGCGCACGCUGCUGGAGCUACGCAUGCUGCAUUUUACAGCGGUCGCUGAAGCCAGCGCUGGCUGUCGCAUCAAAACAGACGAACGACGCGCCGCAAACUGAUUUUAACACGUCCAACGGGUGUUGUUGAUGCUCUAACAUCUCAAAAUCACAAACAUUAUCCUCACAAAACACACACACGCACAAGGGCACACGUGGACACUGAAUAAGCAAAAUCAUGGCAUUCUAUUGAUUCAGAAUAGAUACGCUCGUAUAAAAAAAAACAGAAAAUUUAUUAAUUCAGUUUAGAUAGAUGAAAAUCUCCACAGAAAAGAUAAAACCAAACCCACCAAAAAACCACAACAUAAGAGCUGUACAAAUUCGAAGCUCCACCUAAAAUUAUUUGGACGCAAAAGGUGCUAAACUCCCGGCUGACAGAAGCCUGAGACAUCAAUAGACAUACUCGACACGAGACAGCUUGGAGGACGACCCGGACCACGGCAUGGCGACGGUGACCACGCCGUCCUUGUACUCGAACUCGGCGGCCUCGCCCUCAACCUUGCACAGCCUGGGCUUCGCCGAAGAGUAGGCCGCCAUCUCCCCAGCGCCCUUGACCGCAACCUCCACGAUCACCUCGCCGUUGCCGCUCUCGCUGGACUCGAAGGCGUGCACCGCGGCACCGGUAUUUAGCAUGUUGGCAAGGCCGAUGGGCGCGAACCGGAUGUCCUUCUCCGGCGAGACGACGCGCACGGGCGCCACCACGAGGAGCUCGUAGUUGAACGGUUCGAGCGUGAUCUCCACGGUCUCCUCCGGGAGCAUCAGCUCCAGCUUCUUGGCCUCGACGAAGUAGACGGCGAACUGCGCGGCGCCAUCGACGGCGACGGGGUGGGCGGUGCCCUGCUUCCACUCGACGUCCGCCGGCCCGGCGCGCGCCGUGACGGGGACGGAGCACUGGGACCAGCACUUGUUCCGCCGCGCCUCGGGGCUCCAGCCGCCGCCCUGGCAGUUGAAUGCGCCGAGCACGCCGGAGAACCUGUUGACGUUCCAGAUCUUGAGCAUGGUCCGGCCGUCAUGGAGCGGGUCGAGGAAGAGGCAGUCGCGGGUGGGGAGCGCGUGGUGCUCGCAGCGGAGGAUGGUGCCGUCCGGGAGCGCGAGGCGGCGGAGGAGCGCGAAGUCGUGGCUGCCGACGGAGUCGCUGACGUAGAUGGGGCCGCCGGAGACGGCGCGGGAGGCGGCGUGGAAGGCGGCGCAGGGGUGCGUGGACUGGAACAUGUCCCAGUCCGGGUGGAUGAAGCUGCCCAUCCAGAGCGAGUUGUAGGCGCAGUGCACCAUGUGGCAGCCCUGCAGCCAGAAGGUGCCGUUGGGGUCGCCGGAGGGGUCCGUGCACCAGAAGUCGUCGCCGACGCGGCCCAGCGCCACCGCCUCCGUGCCCAGCAGCAUGAAGUCGUUGCAGUGCUCCAUGCUCGCGAUCACGCCGUUGCCGCCGAAGUGCCGCCGCACGGACUCCGUCAGCCCGCGGAAGUAGGCCUUGGCCAGCUCCACCCGCCCGCCGUACUCCUCGCACAGCAUCUCCAGCAGCUGCACACGCACGGGCAAACAUUUUUUUUAAUUAAUUGUUGGUGACAAGUCACGUCAACAUGUAAUUAGCAGUUUCCUGGCUGUCCUAAUUGCACGUAUCAACAUGGUGUCAAAUGUCAAAUGCAUCUCUAUCCUACCGUCCAGGUCAGGUUACUGGACGGGUCGCUUGAACAAGAUUGGAUUUGGUACUAGUAAUAAAAGCAGACAAGGAUAGCGCUCGAAAUCGUCUACCGUUAUAGGCCAUUUGUGGCAGAGCUAAUUCCCCAACAGCUUCAAGACAGAGACUACUAAUGGUUGCAAUUUCAUAUAUUUUCCAUCAUAUUCCGGAGAGCUCGAGAACUGCAUCACGUGCACGGUGCACGGUGCACUGCACCGCUUAUCCUUUGCACACUUCUUCUACCAGAUUAAUUCAAACGCAUGGAAACAAAACAUUCUCGGCUAUCAAAAUCUAUCAAGUAAGUACGAGCUGCUGACAAAAUUUGGAGGUAAAUUGAAGUUUCUGAAAAAUACUCACAUGUAUGACGUCGACCUUGACGCCGUCGAUGCCGGAGGCCUGGAGGUGGGAGUGGAGGCCCUCGUAGAGCUCCCGCGCGUGCUCCGGGUCGACGAGCCCGACGCCGUUGUUGACGAUCUUGUCGACGGCGAGGUCCUCCAUGGUGCGCUUGAGCCCCGGCGAGAGCUUGGGCGUGACGACCUUGUUCGGCGGCAGCCCCGGCGUGCCGGGCCGGAGCCCGCCCCAGUACCCGCAGAGCGCGUGCCACACGUAGACCUGCUCCACCGUCGGGAACGCGGCCUUCAUCUCGCGCACGAACCCGCCGAGGCCGAGGCCGCCCUUGUAGUCCCUGAACUUGUGGUUCUCCUGGAACUUGAUGAGCCGGCACGGCAUCUGCUCGCCGGCGGCGGUGCGGUUCAUGCCCUCGGCGCCGUCGGCGGGGUCGUCUUCGUCGUGGCAGAUGGACUGCCAUCCGUCGUCGAUGAGCACGAGCCCCGGCGGGCACCCGCCCUCCGCCAGCCCGCGCACGCCCUCCCACACGCCCUCCGGGUGCACCUUGAGGUAGAAGGCGUCCCAGGUGCACCACCCGAACUUGUCGACGAUCGGCGGCGGCGUCUUCUCCUCCAGCAGCCGGAAGGUGCCGAGGUGGGCGCGCACCACCCUGGCCGCCUCCCUCACCAGCUCGAACGGGUCGUCGCCGGCGUGCAGGUACACGGCGCUCCGGAACACGGACCCCUUCACGACAGAGGAGCCGCUCUCGAGGCAGAGGGCCACGUGGUCGUCCUCGCCGGACUGGAGGCUGGCGCGGAAGGCGCCGUCGACGAUGGGGAGGAGGAGCACGUAGGGGCGGUCGGCGGCGCGGUCGAGCACUAUCAUCUGGGUCUCGUUCUCGACGUCCCGGCCGGCGGUGCCCACCCAGUGGGUCGUCCACCACACCUUGAAGCGGAAGAUGCUCAUGAACCUCGUGUCAACCAGCUUGCCGAUGGGCACCACAUGGCGGCUGUCCGGCGCCGGCGCGUCGAAGCCGAGGAAGCUGCCGUGGGUGGCGCCAGCAACCUCGGAGGCAGACACGAGGACGGAGGCCGGGGUGAGGUGGAUGUUGGCAGGGACGUCGAGGAGGGCCGGGUGGCCGUCGACGGCGAGGUCCUUGCCCUUGAGCGUGAAGCGCGGCGACUGCUUGAGGCCGUCCACGGCCACGUCGCCGAGCAGGUCGUCCGUCGCCUUGCUGAGGUUGGGAGCCAUGGCUUCGCUUGGAGGGGGUUUUGCUCUGCUUUUGCUUGGGUUCGCUAUAAGCUCGUGUUGUGUGCUUUCGCGAAUUGAUGAUCGGCGGCCAAUUGGCGCUGGAUUUAUAGCCGACUUGCGUGUGGCCCACAAGGAAAGCUCUGCUCCCUCGAAUGGAAAUGUUUUUCUUUUGUGUGUGUGUGUGUGAGAGAGAGAAUGGAAAUGUUAUUUUGGCGGUGCAAAUUUUUGAUUUCUUUAGCAUUUCUAAACGGGGUAGCGCUCACGGCCCUAAAUAAAACCGCGAAGCUUCGCACGCUAAUUCAACCCUUCUCUUCGGAAUAUCCUUUCGGUGUUUCUUCCCUUUGGAUUUGGAAAUCCAUAUUUACGAUGGAUAAGGAUAAUGAUAAACUGAUGAUGUAUGAUGUAUUAUCCGUGGAAGAAUGACGCGGCGAUCGAGCUUCCUGCGUGCUAAUUAUCCUCUGAACAUUUGUUUCCUCCUCUCAGCCAUAUCGCUUUCGUUGCUGCGAAGCCAAUUUUGCGCUGGGUAUUCACCCAUCCUAUGAUCUCGGGCGAUGAAUAGCUGACGGUGCAUCUUUUCCAGUAUAUACGCUUCCUACUAUUGCAAUCCUGCCGCGCGUGCGAAGGCAUCAAAUCUCUGUAAUUUUCCGUUGUUUUUUGCUUAACACAAUGUUCCGUUGAUUCGUGGUGCACCAUAUGUAGUAGAAUGAGUUUUUAGACCAUUUUUCUGCUCCGAUGCAUGGCAUGGCCAGGUGCAUGCAUAUACUCCGAUAACCAGCCGCGCAGCCACCGGUCGACACGUGCAAUUUGCACGUGUACGAGCCGGGGGACGUUGCAUGUCUUGGCGGUAACUAAAAAGUGUGGUCUAAUUUAGGAAACCCGGCGGCCUUGACCCUUACCAAACACAGCCGUCCAGUCCAGGCCUCUCGAGAAGAGGACAGAGCCUCCCGGGCCGGCUCUGGAAUGCAAUCGGCCGUGGGCCACACGCAGAACGCCGCUUACUCACAUUGCAGUAUGGGCUGUGGGCCACAGGUCCAAACCAGCCUGCCGCUGGCCGCGCGUCGACGCUCCCGUCCGCCGACGAUGGUCGCGUGGCCGCGCCCGGGUGGAUGCUGCCUGCCGCUGCCCCGUAGGCACGUACGUUACGAUACGAUAGGUACGCAUGCACCAACUCGACCAGCUAAUUUGGCCGGUGCAAGUCGGCCGAUCCAAGAGUCAAUUCUGACAAUAUUUCAAGCAAAUCCGUUAUAUACUUUGUCUCUAAGACUUUGCAACCUCGAAAGGCACGUUCAAGAGAACUAGAAGCACAAGGAUUACAAGGAAAAAGAGAUAAAUAAAAAACGCAUGUUAACAACACACAUAACAAAAAGAACAAGAAAAAAAACAUAAAAGAAGACAAACAUUGACGAGCCGGACCAAACCACGACACAUGAUAGUCGACGCAAUCCAACGGCACCUCACGAACCAAGACUGCACAACGCCACGACACAGAACCUGUAUCGCGAUGCACAGUCAAAGGCCAUGCAAGGCCGAGACGACGCACGUCAUCAUUGUGCGAGGGGCAUAGUUGACGGGCAUCACUAAGCAAACCAAGCUAUAGCACUGCAUCGUUGACACAAUCCAACGACACCUCGUAAACGAAGACUGCACGACGCCGCGACACGACCUGUGUCGGGGGUGCAUUCGAACGGUAAAGCAAGGCCGAGACAACGCCACGACAUAUGUGUGCCAACAGCAUGCAGGGACCGUCAAGCAGAGACGCAUCAGGAGCACUCGAGCAUGACACACACUACCACCAAUCCCAGACCAGCCGCAUCACCUUCAUCGUCGCCACACAAGUCACGACGCCAGAACCUCCACACCGCCAGCCGGGCAACUGCCGACUGCAGCAUCGUGAGCAUCUAGCCCAUCAAGAACUCAAACCGGAUCCCAUGACCUUCAAGACGACGCCCCAAAGGGAAAAGCGACAAUGUCGAUGCCGACGUCCAGCCCGACCGGGCUUUAGGUUUUCACCCGAAUACCUCGGACCGAGGGUGUGCAAGGGUUGGACUCCUCGACCACGACCACCAGACACGCAGCCUCGUGGCCCCACUCGCCGGAGUCGCAGCGCCGCACAAGGAGGGCAGCCUCCCCCACCGCGAGCUCCCGCAAGACGCGAGAUCUGUGUCGCUGAAAGCCCCGCGCACCUGAACCUCGCCUCGUGUCGGAGCCCGACGCCCGAGCCGCGCCGCGCCCUGCCUCGUGCACCCAUCCUCGCAGCCACCGACGCCAGUGCACGCACCCGCGCGAGCACCGUGCCGAGCUUCAGCUAGAGCGGACAGCCCGUGCCAUCCCCGUCAAAGCUGAAGGAGGAAAGGGCCCCACCGUCACCGAACCGCGCAGGCUUCGCCUGUCGACGCGCCGGCGGCAGUGAAGAAGAAGAGGACGGUGAGGGAGGUCGCUAUCGGCGGCUAGGGUUGGCUCUGAGGCCGCUCGCGGGAGCGACGAGGGGAGCCUCACUCGACGCAAUAACGGUUCUCAGAAUCCGUUAUAUUAACAAUGACGUGGAUUAACCUUGCUGCCGCUUACGGCAAAUGGGUGAACCCCAAUAAUGCUACGUCUACGGACGAAUUCCUACGGGCGGAGGCUACGGACUGAUGUGUACGUCUUGGUUCACCGAGAACGACGAGUAGCGUGAGUUAACUGCCAUGUUCCCGUCCGGUUAACUCUUGCGCCGACCUCGUCGACAACGACCGGUACCUACUGUAGUAGUACCACGUACCAGUCGGAGUAGCUGUGACCAUGUGUGUCCAUCUGAUUAAUUUAAACCGGUCACGGUCGCGCUGCUUCCGUCAAAGAUACAAGCGGGU